UCUUUUUUUUUUUUGGUCACACCUAACACACCAAAUAACAAUUUUUACAGUUUCACCCACAAACUUUGCAUUAAUUUCCAAAUAGUACAUCUUUAGGGUUUAAGAAACUCAUGAUUAUCUCUAAAACCCUGAGCUCACUCACUUUUUGUGUACACUCCAAAAUGGUGAACGUCGCCGGCGACGACGAUGAUGAUUUCGGUGAUAUCUACGCCGACGUAUUAGUUCAAGCAAGUUCAGCUAUCAAUGCUCUACAGAGUUCAACGAAGGUUCAAACGGAAGUUAAUGAGGUUAACUACAAUGCUGCUGUCGGAAACUGUAAUCGUGAAAAUGCUGUAAGAGGAGAAGAGGAAUGUGAGAGCGAGAGUGGAGAUGACUUGAACAUACUGUUGAAUGAUGAUGAAGGUGAUGAUAAUUUUCUCAAUGCUGGAUGUGAUGAGGAUGAAACUGAGGGAAAUGGAGGUUUUAGUGUUAGUGAUAAAGGAAAUGGUUUAGGACAGAAUUCAAAUGGCAGCGGAAGUGGCGAUGGAGAGAAAAACAGUUACAAGGUAGCAUUAUAGACUGUGAAAUUAGUGAAAAAGAGUAGUGUUAAUUUGAACUUGUUUUCGUGUUGCUUAGUUGUUGAACCUGAUUACUGAUUAGAUGAGUUGCUUUGAUUAUUGAAUGCUUAUAUUGGUUUGAUUUUAUGUAUAAAACAAGGGAGGUUAGUGUAAAGCUGAUUAUGAGGUUUGCAUAUUUUAAUAUUCCUGCCAUUUACUAUGGUCGAAGACUCUUAUUUGGCAGCAAUUAAGUUUUUCUUGCUUGAAAAACUGAAAAUUUGGUAAAUGUAUACUCUCUUCAGUUUAUUUUCUUGCAAUGCACCUACCUCCACUUGCUGCAACUUGGGGAUUUUACUGGAAAUGCCUUUAGGUGUUUUCUUCGCGAUUAUCUAUUUUUGAAUUCUUCAAGUGUGAAAAUUAUCAUGAUGAUUGAUGAUAGACUUCAUCAGCGUUUACAUGAAUUAAUGCAGUUAAGCUUUCAUGGAUUAGUCAAGGUGCUGGCCUGAAUGCCACCUAUAUGGAAAGAAAAUGGAUUAAUACUGUUCUGUACUUCUGUUACUUCAUAGUGUUUCAUUCUCCGAAUUAUGAUUUCGCCCCCUCUUUUAUGUAGAACACAAGACCACCACAAGCAGCAUACUCAAGUCAUCUCAAAGCCAAUAGAUCUUCUUGUGCGCCUUCUUACUCUACAGCAUUUGUCAAGGGCAAAUGGGAGGAUAAUAGCUACACACAAAGGGUGGGCUCAGGCUUUGCUGCUCAAAAUGGACAGAGCUUCUCACUUCCUCGGUCGAGGUUAUUAUGUUUUGUCAAACUUUGCUUGUAUUCUAAUCUUUGGUUAAUGCUUUGUUGUGUUUCCAUUUUUAUAGAAAAACAGUUCAACAUACUGUUAUAAGAAAAUUAUCUACAUUUGAAACAACUGGUUCCACUUUUUCUGGUGCAUAUUUGCUUAUUGGAGAUAAUGUUGGUCAUCUCAUCAAAGAACUGUUAUGAAAUAGGUUUACCAGAUAAAGUUGUUCUAUAUUCUUUUGUAGGCUUAAUCUUUUCAUAUUUCAUAGAUAUGUAAUUGAUCCAUAAUUUUUCAGGAAUAUAUUGGACGUGAAUAUUGAUAUGUUUGAGAAGAAACCUUGGCGGUAUCCAGGCACUGACUUGACAGAUUAUUUUAAUUUUGGCUUUGAUGAAGAUAGUUGGAAACAGUAUUGCAACUGCCUGGUAAUGAAUGCAUAUAAAUUUGUCUGUUUCUGAUAUGUAUUAGAGUAUAUAGUUUUUCCUUUUAUCAUUUCUUGUUAUCUUUGUUUUUGUAUUUCUUCCAACUUUCUAGAAUGUAUUGUGGCAAAGUUGUUUCUACUAUUUUUACUGCAUGUCUUACAUGUUUAUCAUUGGCCGUGACUUUUGAAAUAGGAUGAGCACCGAGAUCAAGCAAAAAAGAUAGUCAAAGAUUCAGACUACAAGACUUCGAAAAUUAGUAAGGUAGGAAUCUCUGGAUGAUUGUCAAGUUUUACUAUUCCUUAAAUAAUAGGUGAAGCCUUACCUUAUAAAAAAAAGAAGAAAAAGAAACAAUUAGUGAGCUUAGUGUAUCAAAUGGGUUGUGAAAGCUGAAGGUGACCAUGUUUCUGUUCAAACCAUGCUGAAGAUGACAUUUAAAAAAAAUGUAGAUGUCUUCGUUACCUAACAGUUCUUAAAUGCUAUCUGAAAUUGAACUGUUAAUGAUGUUUAUGGUAUAAACUUGCCAAUGUUCAGCCAAAAGGUAGAGAAAUAGAGGUGGAAGAGAGCAUGAUUGAGCGCCGACCAUCAACAGAUGUGGGACGUCCACAGUAUCGGGAUUCUGGUGUCGUCAUACAGGUAUCAAAUUUUUUAAUUCUUCCCUUUUCUUGACCAUCUAAUUGCUGUGUGCUCACAGGCUUGUGCUGGCACCAGAUUGCUUUGCAGCAGUCAAUGGAAGAUCCCAUAAGUUCUACAAAAGAGCAGCGGGAAGCAUCUGAGAAUGGAGAUGUUGUUGGGGGAGAUAGAAAGGAGUUUCUCUGUUUCAGUAGUGCCAGCGAAGAUGAGUUAACCAGCUUGGAAGGAAUUGGAGAAGGAUCAGGCAAGUCUACAUCUGGAAGGUAUGUCAUCUACUGGUUGAAUUGUGAUGAUAGUCUGUAACACUACUUGCAUUAUUCUUUUGCUGGUUAAUCUUCACAUUGGAACACAACUAUUUUGCGAAGGACGUGUCAGUAAAAAUGACCUUGCAGAUUUUAAUCCUUAUGUAGUUUAAGUUCGAAGGCUAUAUUAUGUUGCAAUAUAAGAGCUUGAAAUGUGACAGGUUUUCUCACAUGUUCUUGAUGCUUAGUUGGCUUAAAGUUGUCGGCUUCUAAGUCUUUUUAAGGUUUUGUUUUCCUAGACAUGCUUGCAAAAUAUUGUCAAAUUUUUCAAAGAUUUCCUUCUUCAUGGACCAUGAGUAAUCUGAUCCAUUGUCGGCUUUCUUUUUGCUAUCUUCACCUUUACUUUUAAGUCUUGCUUCUCACAUCUCUCCUGUUUUUCUGCUGAUUGAUGAUACAUAAAAAUGUAUUUAAUGGUUCAAGUUACUUCAUUCUCAUAAAAUUAACUCUGGAUUUCAGGAUUACACCUGUUUGUGAGCACGUGUCUAUGGGUUCAGAUAACUACGGAAAUUCUGAGUUCUCUGAUGCAGAUGAGCGACACCACCAAGAGGGGACCUACUGUAAUGUUGAUCAAACCUCAGGAGCAAUUAGAUCUUCUCAUGAUGCAAAUAAAAGCAGUGAGAGAGACAUAUCUGAUCCAAGACAACCUAUAAAGUUGCAAGAACCACUGCAUGGUGGAGGCAGAGAGCAUAGCCCAGGUUCAUCUUGUUGUUCUCUAAGUCAUGGUGGCACAUCUGGAGAUGGGACUUUUCUUGACUUAGAGAAAUCUCAUGAUCAUCAUACAAGGUUAUUAUCAAACACAGAAUCUGAGUUACGGGAGAAGGGUACAAUUGAUUACCAGCCAAUUUAUGGAACCAAUCAUAACAGAACAAAGUCUGGUGAUCCUAAAUAUUUUACACGAGGUAGAAGGUCUGUGCAAAGAGAACUGCUGCAUGACAGAAGAAGACCUGGUCGAAUGAGUGGAACAAUUCCUGCUCACCUGAAAGAUGAGGAUUCCCACAAAUCAGAUGCUAGGAUACUGUAUGAAAGGCGUAAUUCAACUGUGAUCCGAUACAGACAGAGAGAUAGACGAUAUGCUUUUGACUCUCAUGAAAGGGAAGAUACUUCACAUUUUAAGAGGGCAGAACCCGUUUACUCUAAUGCAGGACGAUUUUCUGAUUAUCCAUGCCGGGAUUCUUUUACAAAAAAUCCUGAGAUGGAACAUCAGUUAAGAUGUAAAUAUGACAAAAACUGGUCUGGCGGUCGAAGCGUGAAAAGAAAGCUAGAUCCUCUUGAACUAUCAAUUUAUACAGAUGAUGAAUUGUUGGAAAGAGAUAGACCCCAUUAUGGGAGAAGACUCACUGUUCAGGAUAUGGACACCGUUCCUUUUCAUGAAUCGGAACAAUGGUUCGAUAAGUAUAUUUCCUAUUCAGAUGAUGAGAAUCCCAGUCAACGAAUGCGGAAAAUAGAUCAGCUGCCGAGUAAGAAGAGAGUGAGGACUGAUGAUCUUGUAACUGAAUGUAAUUACAUCUACGAUAUCAUGGAAGAGACUGAUAACAGAUAUAGACCAUACAACCACAGGGAUACUAAUAUUCUAGAAGAUGGCUAUCAUGUAAAUUUGACUUAUUUCAGAAGAGAAAUUAAAAGCCCCAGUAGGGGCAAAAGGAGAGAUGUCAGUCCUUGCAAAAGUUCAAAUGAUAUAUGUUUCAUGGAUCUAAAGGAUGAGGAAGGGAGAUUUGAUGGGUAUCGACCUCCAUCCUUUCGUUUGUAUAGAGAAUCUUGUACUUCUAGCAGAAGGUGGCAGAGCCCUGAACUGCCACGUGGCAGACACGGAAUAUUCAGUGGGACUAGGAAAUGUGAUGGUGGUGCUAAUUUGACCAACUCCAUUGGUUCCGAUCAGACGAGCAAGUAUCCUGGUAAUCAGGACAAUUUUAAAAGAAGAAGAGGGGGCCAGCAGUCUGAAGGGAUGCAAUGGGUUGAAGAUGAAAACAGUUCUAGGUAUCAGCAAAAUAUAUUCGAUGCUGAGAGGACGUCAUAUUCGUUCAGAAGAAGUUCAAGUGACCGAAGGUUUAAUUCAUUUGACAAUAAUCAUGGACCCAACCCAGUAGAAAAGCUUUUAGAUGAUAGGCAUGUGGAGCAGGAAAAAUACAAAUUGAUCAGGGAAGGCAAUAAUGCCAGUCAAUUUGGUCAAGGGUCUAAAGUUUUUCAUAAAGAUAAUCAUUGGAGGAGAUUCCCAAGAGGGAGAGAUUCUGUUGACACGGGCUUGAUUGUUGAGAACGGAGAGGUAAUUUUGUGUAUACAAAUGUCAAGAUUGUAUAGUCUAUAUGUAAAUAUGAGUUUUCCAUAUAUGUUGGGUCCUGUUCCAUUGUGUGAUAUCAUCUCAUGCUACCAAGGUCUCCUAUUUCCCUGUGCGUUUGAUUUCAGAUUAAAGUUCUCAUGUUGCCUUGUUUUUUUUUUUUAAAAAAAAAUUGUUCUUGAAUUGACCCUUAAAAAAUUGAACUUGUCAACUCCAAAAUUAUAUUAAGCUUGCUAUUCUAGGAAUUCUUAUAUUAUUACCUUUAAGCAAUUGAUCAUCAGUAUUCUCUAGUUACUUAUGAAACCAUAUAAAUCUGUUGGUGACCAUUUAGUCGUUUAUUUCUUGAUCCUACAAAUGUGCAUCAACGUUGUUACUGACAGUCCUCUAUAUGUUGACGAGAAAAGAGUGUUUGCUUAAGGGACAUGUUACCAUUUUGUAGCUCCAGUUGGUGUUAGUCUUUUGUCACUUGAAGUACAUUAGAUAUCUAAUGUGAUAGCACUUUUGCAAAAAAUAAGAGAGGACUCCGAAGUUCAUUGUCUUUGUGUAGUUAUAUAGGUAAUCUUCUGCAACAGGAAUAAGCAAGUAAACUUUUUCUAUAUACUGCAAUUUUAAUAUCAGUAAAGCGGAUCUCAGUAAACUAGGCAGAAAACACCAAAUUGUAUUACUGGAGUAUCACUAAAUUGUAAUCAUGACGAGGCUUGCUUAUUCUUCUAACUCACGAGAUCUCAUUUAACACAAAUAGUUUCUAUUUUUGUGUUGAAAUGGGCUGUCAUUCUUUUUUCUCGAGUCUGAUAGCUUGAUAUGUCACUAGCACAAUGUUUCUGCAAGACUUCAUUGAUUGUUCUUUUAUCUUAAAUUGAGCAAUAGUUUAGGAGGUAAGUUGCCUUUGUAUGCCGGCAUUGGCAUAAAACUGUGUUUUACUUUUACUAUCAGCGUCAAACUACAUGUCCUGACUUUUUGGAUAUUAACCAUCAUAAAGUUGUGCUUAGUGCUUACACAAGAACUUUACAUGAUUCAACAUUCUAUCAAAUCUUAUAUUCUUUCUUGGCAUACGCUUUUGUAUGUGGGAUACCUUCAGUUUUUAAUAAAGUAUUAUAUUUGCUUUCAUUUAUUCUUCAAUACAACUUUUUUUGAAUAUGAUGACUUCAAGUCGUGUUCAAGAAUGUGAGCUGGGAAGUGAAAUAAGAAAAAGGAGAUCGCUACACCACUGAAGUUGCUGUCCUAAUGCAUGCUCCUUUUAUGUGUCUGGACAACUUUGCAUCUUGAUUGGAAAUGAUAAUUUUAGCUGGACAGAUAAUCUAUAUUCAAUUUUUGAGAGGCCAUAUUAGGUGUUGCUCCUGCUUGAACUUGGACUAGAAUGAAGUCUUGUUUUUCUCUUAUCAAUGGGAGGGGGUGUUCAAUGUUUGAAUAUGUAGUGCUUGGGAUCUUAAGUAGAUAAGAACAAAUUAAAAAUACUGAUAUUCUGUGUGAGCUCAUGACUAUUUAACAUCAUAUCUUGGAAGUAUUUUUUACUUCUGAUAUUCCGUUUAGUACAGAUGAUGGGGUGCUUUUGGUAGAAAACUAUGUCUUUUUGUAAGGUUCUCUACAUUUCUCCCCAUCUUUUCAAUAGAAUUGUUACCUCCAUUAUCCAAAAAAUAAAAAAGAACUAGAGUUAAUUAUUCUGUUUCUAGAAUUUAGAAUCCACACUUUACUUUCUUCAGCUCUGUUUGAGGUAAGAUCCGACCCUUCCUUGGUGGUGUCAAAGUUUUUUUAAAAAAAAACAAACUAAUAAUCAUAGAAAAGGGAAUUAGAUGUGGAGAAAACUUUAACUGCAUAUUUCGUCUCGCAAUUAUAGUGUUUUACUUCUGCUUCAGGAGCCAUUUCCUUUUCAUCAAUUUUAUGAUACAUUGAUACCAUUUUGUUAAUAUGGUCUCUCUGAUAUUUAUUUUUAUUUUGAUAUACCAUGACAGCAUUAUAAAGCUUUGUUAUUAUCCUCGUUCUUAACACAUUCCUAUGUUUUAAAUUUCUUCUUGGCUGCACUUUAUUGGUAAACAAAAGCAUGAUGGUCUGCUUUGGAAAGUCAUCUUGAUUAGCACGUAUGCUAAUUCCUUUUAUCCUUCAGCUCCAGUUAUAAUUUAUUACAAACACAUAUAGCCAUUGACUAUAUAGCUCUCUUCUGUUUAACUAUUUAAGUUACAUCCCCUUUCAAAGUUUCAAGUUUGUGAGUACUUGGUAUGAUAGUUUUGCCUUUGACAGUUAACAAGUUCUCUAAUUCUUUUCAUGGUAAGUUUUUGUGUCACGUGAGCUCACGCACGAUAAGGCGGCCUCUCUUCAUUAAUUGUGUAAACUAUCAGGAUUUUGAUUUUUGUUUGUGACCAUGGAUCUGCAGUCCUCCGGAAGAUGCUCCAAAGCAGGGGGUGUAACAUCCUUUGACAGGUAUAGCCACUUGGAUUCAGAUAGUUAUGUGGAGCUGAAGCCCAUCGAUGGAACUAGCAAACCCCAUUUCAGGAAGACACUCAGAACUCGAAAUGUGACGACUGAUCCUAAAGAAAAUGAUAAAGGAAGGCUUGAUAUAUUCUCAGAUGCCAACCAGGAAGAGUCUCUGGAUAUUGAAGAAGGUCAGAUAAUUGAAGAAAUGAACGAGAAAAUCAUUAAAAAGAGAAUCACAUGUUCUGGCAAAUCACAAAUCAGUGAAAUGAAGAAUUUCGCGUAUGAUAAAAAUGUGGAGGGACAGGACAACAACCCUAGGAUUUUGGAGAUCAUGGCAAAGAUGGAAAAGCGUGGAGAGCGUUUCAAGCAGCCUAUUGCUCUCAAAAGUGAUACAAAGAAUGUCUCUAAGCCUUUGGUUGAUUCGUUUGCUUUGUCAACUGAACCUAUGCAACCAAGACCAGCACGAAAGAGGAGAUGGGCUGCAAGCAAGGCAACUGUUUAAUGCUUGUAUUAGAGAAGGUGCGUCUCACUAUACCUUCAUAACUGGAUUUGUAUAUAGUGGCGUUUGAUUGAAGAAAUGGUUGCUGAUGGUAUAACUGGGGACGGGGUUAAGAAGUUUCCCAUGAAAAGAGGGAAAAAGAAAACACGUCUCAUAAAGAAUACUGUCUGUUUUGUUGCGCUAAAUGCGUUUUUUUUCCUCUGAAGUAUAAUUGAUUAUUUUGAUUUCAAAGGAUGCAAGGCUACCAGUGAUGAUGGUAUGGCUUGAGCUUUUAUUUAGUCAACUUUAUUCCCAUUUGGUACAAGCUUUAUUCUUGAGAAAUCAUGGUGUCUGCCAUGUAUAAUUUCUCAGUUAAGUUUUAUAAUUUUUUCUUAUUAGUUCCUUGAUAUGUUUCAGAAGUAGUGGUUUGGAAGCAACUUUCCUGUUUGAUUAUAUGGAUCUACAAGUUCAAGUUGCAAGCUUGUCUGAGAUGUUUUGCUUCAAUAAGGUAGUGAGUAUGGCGUAAUGUUAGGGACGGAGUUAGGAGGUUGCAAAGGGUUCAUUCAAAUCUCUAUCGUUGGAAAUUACAUUGUAUAUGAUCAAAUUAAUACUAAUUGUUUAUCUAUCUACAUCUAUAUUACCUUAAAAGCAUGAACUUCUAACUUGAAUGUUAAAUUACUAAAAUAUUCGUAACUUAGGUUGUGAUUUUUUUAAUGAGUUAUGACUUUUUCGAUAACUAGUGGAACAAAAAUGCGCCACGAAUUCACAUAACAAAUGUUGCUAAAAGUUAAUAUUCGUGGCAACUAAAAUUGUCACUAAAUUAUAUAACGAUUAUCGCUAAAAGAUUGUAUUAAUGGCAACUAAAACAGCCACUAAAUCAUUAAACAAUUGCCACUAAAAGAUAGUGUUAGUGGCAACUAAAACAGCCACUAAAUCAUUAAACUAUUGCCGCUAAAAGAUAGUAUUACUAGCAGCUAAAACUGCCACUAAAUCAUUAAACUAUCAUCGCUAAAAGAUAGUAUUAGUGGCAACUAAAACCACCACUAAACCAUAUGAGUCGCUGGGAAUAAAGUAUUAGUGGCAACUAAAACAACCAAAAAAUCAUAUAAAGUCGCCACAAAAAGAAAGUAUUAGUGGCAACAAAACCGCCACAAAUCAUAUACGUGUCGCUAAAAGUCAGUAUUGGCAACUACUACUGCCACUAAAUCAUACAAGAGUCGCCGCAAAAAGAAAGUAUUAGUGGCAACAAAAACCGCCACGAAUUCCUAUUAAAGUCGCCGCUAAAGAUUUGUUUUAGCGGCAACUUAAUCCGCCACUAAUAAAAAUAACAGUUGCCGCUAAAAGAUAAUAUUAGUGGCAACUAAAACCGCCACGAAAUCAUGUAAGUGCGCCGCUAAAAGUAAGUAUGAGUGGCAACUAAAACCGCCACAAAAUCAAAUAACAGUUGCCGCUAAAAGUCAGUAUUCGUGGCAACAAAAACCGCCACUAAUUCCUAUUAAAGUCGCCGCUAAAAGAUUGUUUUAGCGGCAACCAAAACCGCCACUAAAUUAGAUGGGAGUCGCCGCAAAAGAAAGUAUUUGUGGCAAAAAAAACCGCCACUAAUUCCUAUUAAAGUCGCCGCUAAAAGUUUGUUUUAGUGGCAACUAAAUCCGCCAUUAAUAAAUAAACAGGUCGCCGCAAAAAGAAGGUAUUAGUGGCAACAAAAUCCACCACCAAAUCAAAUAACAGAUGCCGCUAAAAGAUAGUAUUUGUGGCAACUAAAACCGCCGCUAAAUCAUAUAAGAAUCAGUGCAAAAAGAAAGUAUUACUGGCAACAAAAUCUGCCACUAAAUCAAAUUACAGUUGCCGCUAAAAAUUUGUUUUAGCGGCAAUUAAAUCCGCUAUUAAUAAGAAUAAAUGGUGCCGCUAAAAGAUGAUAUUAGGCAACUAAAACCGCCACUAAAUUAUGUAAGAGUCGCUGCAAAAAGCAUUAGUGGCAACUAAAACCGCCACUAAAUCAGAUUACAAUUGCCACAUAGUAUUAGUGGCAACAAAAACUGUCACAGUAAGUACAACAUAAACCGCCACUAAAUAAUAUAAUAGUUGCCGCUUAAAGAUGUAUUAGUGGCAACAAAACCACCGCCGCAAUCAUAUAAGAAAUGCCGCUAAAAGUAAGUUUUAGUGGCAACGCUAAAAGUAAGUGUUAUUGGCAACAAAAUCUGCCACGAAAAGUUUGUUUUACCGGCAACUAAAUCCGCCACUAAAUCAAAUAACAGUUGCCGCUAAAAGAUAGCACUAGUAACUAGUGUAUAGUAUAUGUCGAGUCUGCUCCAGUUGUUUGUGUAUUUACUUCUCUAAAAGUAGCUAAUGUUGUAACACAACAAAGAACAAUUGGUUUGGUCAAUUGAUUAUAUAGCCUUUCCAUCGUUUUACCAAGAGAUUUUUAAUCACACAAGAAUUUUUCAAGAAGCUAUGUCAAACUAUUUCCUCUAUCUAUCUGAAUGUGUCUAAUAGAUAGAUUUAUUUACUAGUGUAAUGUAGCCAUUUUGGGACCAAACCUACUUUGGUAUAUUCUUGGGUCAUAUCACUCACAUUUUAACAAAGCCAUGGAUAGAAAAUUAAUUCGAUUUGAUCUGAAUAAUCCUGACCAAAACCAAAAUUGUUUAUCUAAGUAAAUCAAAGGUAAACAUGAGUAGGAGUUCAACUACACCAUAGAAACUGGCAAUUGCAUUUAAAGUGUUUGUUUUUAAGCUUCUGGCAAAAAAGAUGAGCGAGCAGUGGUCUUAGUCGUUUCUCCUCCUAUUGCUUGUGGGAGCGGGGGGUUGCUGUGAGAGGAUUUUCAAAACAUUCACCAAUGCCCGUAAACGAUCCCAGAUGUUCAAACCAUAAAGAGUGUGCACCAGAGACUCUUGGAACUCGAAUCCAUUCUCAGCAAUAGGAUACUGCAAAAAGAUGGGAGUAAAGUUUACUUAUAUGAUAUGAAAUGUAUGAAGGAAAACAUGGUUUCAGUAGAUGAGCAACUCACCUGAAUAGGCUUUGGUAUCUUGGUUUUAAUAAAUGGCCACCACCGGUCCUCCACAACUGACUUUACGAGACAGCAAGCUCGUAAUCCUUCAAUACCAGCAAAUCUUCCAAAUCCACUGUCUUUGACUCCACCAAAUGGCAAGGACUGCAUAUCAUUAUUCAGGAGAAAAUGUUAAAAGGGCCCAUUUUAAAAGGAGACAUGAAAGAAAGGGGUGCAGGGGAGGACAAAAGGCGUUAGACUGAAAAGCUGGAAGUUCCAAAAUUUUAAACAAAAGAGGGUUUUAAGAGGAUAAACAAUGUUGGACAAAGCAACUACAACAACAUACAGAGUGUAAUCCCACACAAUGGGGUAGGGGGAGGGUAGAGUGUACACAGACCUUACCUCCAUCCCAGAGGUAAAGAGGUUGUUUCCGAUAGACAAAGCAAUUGUUUAACGUAAAGAACUUAUGGUCUUUUUAGGUAGUUUGCCUUCAGAAGAGAGAUUUCAAGGUACAUGGCAAAGCUUCAGGACCAAUAACAGGCGCAGGAAGGUCAUGAGCAUCAGGAGUUGAGAAUGGGAGUGAGUCAUGAGUGGAAAGGUAGGGUAACUUUUGAUAGUGUUUCGCAACAGUUACUUCUGGCUGUAGAAGAGAGAAGGUAAGGAAGCUAAUUUCUAGCUCGUCAAAUUUGCAAAUGCGGACAUUUAAAGGCAGAAAGAGGAUCUUUUUUGUUCUCCUUUGAUGUAAAGGUUAAGAAAUAAUAAUUAGACCAUGUGAGAUCUGUAAAUUUCAAGCAGAUGCAACAAGGUAUUGUCUGAGGUUCACAAAAUUCUCUCCUAAUUUGUAUGCAUACCUCAAACAUCAUAGCAAUGGUCACAUAUAAGUAUGCCAAACUCUUUGAUAAAAUGUUUCAAGAGCCUAAUGCCUACAGGUACCUGACACAUGUAAUUUGAUGCGAAGUCAUUAAUAGCAGCCACUCCACAAUGUAAUUGUGAAGCUAUAUGCCUAGCACGACGCUGACUGCCUGAAAAUACAGCACAACCAAGCCCAUAGCUUGAAUCAUUUGCAAGCUGAACAACUUCUUCAUCAGAGCUGAAUUUCAUUAUCGGCAAUAUUGGUCCAAAAGCCUGCAAACAAAUUGUCAUAUGGAGUUAACCAUGCCACCUUCAUCUCAGUAGUAACUAAAAAGAUAAUCUAUCAACUGAUGAUACCUCCUCCUGCAUCAGUUUCAUUGUGUGAUUUACAUUAACAAUCACAGUAGGAGGGAAGUACUGAUCAACAGCACCUUCACCAAUAUUGCCUACACUUCCUCGAGCAACAAUUUCAGCACCUUUGUCUAGGGCAUCAUUUACUAGGUAUUGAAGCCUUUCAGAAUGCUCUUGCAUGCAUAUGGCUCCCAUGUCAUACUUGCCGGACAAAGGAGGUCCCUACAAUUAAAAAAAAACAGUUUAAAUAUAUAAGUAUUUUAGAAAUCAGACUACGCUAGCAAAAUCACAAAUUUCAAAGUCAUUAGUUUUCUGCUUAGGAUUCAGGCAAUCAUUGUGUAUUUAUCGCUCAAUUCUAGGCAAACUAAUGCUUCUACGGUUCACAAUUAUUAGCAAACCAGAAUUUAGAUAGGAUCAGUGAGCAAUCUAACAAAGAAACCAAAAAGGCACCAUGUGCAAAAUGCUAUGUUUCAUGAAAGAAUAAAGAUCUUAUAAUGCAUCGAGUUGAAAAUAUGACACAAAUGAGAAAAGUUACAUACAGCAGUAACCGAUUUCACAAUUUUGACUAUUUCAGCAACAAAAGAAGAGUAAACAUCCUUGUGAACAUAAAAGCGUUCUGCACCAGCACAAUUCUGCCCACUUGAUUGGAGAGCUCCUCUAGCAGCAAUUUGUGCAACCUGCAUCAAAUUUGAUUAGUUCUUUUAAAGACUCGUGAGAAACAGAUAGAGAUGAAUGAUCGUCUUUCUUUAACUUCUCAUAGAGCUAUUUAAAUGAUUUUCCAAUCACAGUUGAAAAGCAAACAAAUGUACUUGACACCCAAAAUGAAAGCAGACAGGAAAAGUUUAUACAUGCGGCACAUCAACAUCUUCACAGACAAUAAAUGCGUCUUUUCCACCAAGCUCAAGGGUAACUGGUAUCAGUGUAUUUGAAGCACUUCGCAUAAUCUGUAGAACACUAAGAGAACAUUAGAAUUUAUAAUUCAACAGAAAAGAAAAGAAAAGUUAGUAAAAGGUAUAGAGAAGAUGAAAAUGGAGGUUUUAAGUCACUCUGUAUUAGAUGAGAAAAUAUAAGCAUGUAUUCUAUGUUCAGGGAGAGCCUACCUUUUUGCCCACACCAGGAGAUCCAACAAAUAUGAUUUUGUCAACAGAGGAUACUAGUGCUUCUCCAGUUUCAGCAAAGCUGGCAAUGAAAUUUUAAAAUGUAAGACAAAUCAUACCAGAACAGAAAGGAUAAAUGUUGUAUAAUGCAUACCCUGUUAUCACUUCUACCAAGUUCUCAGGAGCUCCGACUGCAGCAAGAGCAGUUUGAAUUAUUCGCAGAUAGAAACACCCGGACCAACUGGCAUGUUCUGAGACCUAAGGUAACAAGGAGGUUAUCUCGUCAAAAGUCAAAACCACAGCUUUUUUAGCAGUUUGCUUCCAUGACGUUGUAUAUUUUGCAGCUUUAUUUAUGUGUGUAUAUUUUUAAGUUCAAGAUCUGAUAACUACAUUUAAGCAUGCUAAUCUCAAAUAUUUUCCAAUUGCAUUCCAUGUUAGUAAAGUUCAAUCCAUGAGCAAACAAGCAAUGUAGGAAGUUGGAAAAGAAAAAAGAAGACCUUUAUCACAAUGCUGUUCCCUGAGAAGACUGCAGCCAACAUUGGAUUAAAGAUAUUGUGAAAUGGGUAAUUCCAUGAAACAAUAGCACCAACAACACCAAAAGGAGAAAAUUCCACUUUUGCAACCUUGUGAAGCAUUGAUCUCCCACAUGAACUGCAAGCCACAACACACAACCAUAAAUUCCCUUUACUCCCAAGGUAUCAAAGGCAGAAACCAUGUAAGUUAUGAAUCCACUAUUUUAUUGAAAUGCAAGGAAGAUAAACCAUUUUCAUAACAUACCGGUAUUCAGGCUUUAGCCACUUUUCACCCUCUGAAAGAAGCCAAUGGAUUUUUUCACAUGUAGUCAUUAUUUCUCCCAAGGAGGCAUCUACCAUUGUUUUUCCAGUAUCACGCGAAGAGAUACUAGCAAAAGUUGUUCAGAGAAAUCAUCCAACCCAGUCAAAUGAAAAUAGGAAAAUAAGUAGCAGUUUAGCAUGAGUAAGAGGCAAUUCCAAUGCAAUUAACUCUUAAGACCAAAAUUAAAUGUUGUCAUAUGUGAGAGAGAGAAAUCGAACAAACGGUAGGCUUUCAUAAUCAUGAGAUUCUUCAGUUACUUUUGCACUUGUUUAUUUAUGAUAAGUGAAACUCUAUUAUAUCAUUAGUUAUGUUGCAAAUUUUUGGACAGAAAACUUUAAAGCAACCAACACUUGGAAAUAAGGUCACUGACAUAAAGUUCUUAGUAUAUGAUUGUGAAACGAAAUUAUGCCCAAUGGAACCGUUUAACCUCAAAAUGCUUAGUACUCCAACAAUCAUGUUUCAAAGCACUUUCAAUCUAUUGGAAGAAGAGUGUUCACGUCAGAGCUAGAAGAGUGGGAGGGAAUAAAAUAACAAUAGCUGCUACUUCUGUCUGCAGCUAUCUUCACCUAUUGAUUAAGACCUUCAAAGUAAAUCUCUUUUAUUUCUUCUUUCUAAAGACGAGGCUAAGCCAACUGCAAAAGUUGUCUCAACUAUCAGUCUCUCCCGAAACAUUUUACAGUGUUACACCAUAGUAGUGUAUAACUCAAUCACCGAGAACAUUUCAUUUGGACGUCCAACAAUAUUAGGUCAUAAUUUGUGUCUCUGUACAUAUAAUGUUAAAAAAACAUGGUCAACAAUUAACCAAAAGGAUCUUAAGCAUUUCAGUAUCAUUCAUUCUGCUCCUCGGACAUAAUUUAAUGUGUCAAUACUGUUGGCAGUGUAAAAUAGCAGUUUUAAAUGGUAAGUGUCCCUACUUGCAUAUAAGGUCUUGAUGUUCAAUAAUAUACUUCAGAAGUAUACGUAGAAACAGGCGUCUUUGCUUGAAGCUACUCUUUGCCCAUAUCUUCUGAGCUUUCCUUGCCUGUACAACCCGCUCCUUAACCUGAGCAUGAUUUAGUUUGUUAAUUACAUUUGGCUUGCAUGUAUAUAUCUCACAAAAGACCGUGUUGAUUCUGGUUUUAGGGGCGAAGAACAAGGAAAUUAAUAAGAUUGCAGAUGUGAGCUGGAAUCUUGUAUAUGUUUAUCAUGUAAAGGUUCUCAUGAUAAUAUGUGGCAGCAAAGAGAAACAGUUAACUGAAUGCCCAAUCAAUUCCUGAUAAGAUGACUAAGUAUCUUUAUGCAAAACUUCAUAAAAGAACUUUAGAUACUGAACGUCUGAACCAUGUAAACAAGGGAAGGAGGGAAAAGGAAAAGGAAAAAUUAGUCUAGUGCAUGACAGGAAAUCUUGACAUUUAGUAUAGGGGAACACAAAUAUCAUAUUUAUAUAAGAACAUAAAUCUGACCUCAUCAGGUUUCAGCGCCGGGAAAUAACCCAGGUACUUCAUUGUUGCUGGUUCAUAGCACUGAACUUUGUCUGUAUGCCUUCUCGAGGGAAUCUAAAUGAGCAAAAUUAAGUGUGACAAUAUACAAGUGUCACAUUCUUUCACUUUACGGAAUGAACCAUAUAAAGUUCCACAAAAAAUAAGAGAGCAAAGUCCAUUUGAACAACUAAACGGACAUACAUACUACAUGAAAUCACAAACUGUGUCAUCGGACUUGUUCUCCUAAAGAGAAAUGCUUUCUUGAUAGUGUAAGUGAGUUGGAAGCGAGAGGAACUACUCUCAGUAAGAUGUGAGUUGACAAACUACAUAAAACUCAUAUUCUUGGAUGGAAAUGUUUUUGCAGUAACUUUUAACGUUUGGUUAUCUCGAAUUUGAGACAAUGUUUUGUCGAAAAAGUUAGUUCCAUUGAGAGAAGAAAAUUGACUUAAUAAACUUAUGGAUGGAACUCAUUUUCUUUAAAUAAAAUAUCCCCAUUCUAAUCUUAGUUCCAUUGAGAGAAGAAAAUUGACUUCAUAAACUUGUGGAUGGAACUCAUUUUCUUUAAUAAAAUAUCCCCAUUCUAAUCUUCUUUGUAUGGUUGAAACAAGAGAUAUGUAGCAAGAAUGGGGAUAUUUGAGCUCAUUCAUUCUCAAAUAUCCCCAUUCUUGCUACAUAUCUCUUGCAUCAACCAUCAAUAAGGUAUUUUUGUCAAAAUUAAGAUACCACCAAAACACAAUCAUCACAUUCUCUCUCUUUUCUUUUCUUUUGUUUAAAAGGUUAUGUCUGGGCCAGCUUGUGCACAACUUGGUUAAUCCACCAUAUAUUUUCUACCUUCUCACAAGUACUAUACCAUGUAAACUCAAGCUACCAAGGUUUAAAAAGAUAAGAAUAAUUCAUCUAGCAUAGCUUAUGUUGGGACUUUCAAUCUUGCUUCCCAAGGUUGUCUCAACAGUUAGCUACCCCCUAGGGAGCAAUUCAAUCCUCAUACUCUAUCCACCACCUUGUAUGAUAAUAAUAAUAAUAAUAAUAAUAAUAAUAACAUCACCUGCUUUUUUACUCAAUUUGACAUCGUAAAAUGUUUAAGUAAAUGAUCACUAGUGUAUGAUUUCUAAUGUAAAACACUUUCCACAUACCUCUAAUGGAAAUUCAAAUUGUUUUCUGCAAUUCAGUAAAUAUCUAUAUUCUAUAGCUAAGAGCCUCUUCAUAAAGAAAGAUACUACUAAAUGAGAGUUGAUGAAAUCCAACUAGUGAAAUUUCAAACACAAAAAGGGAAAAAAAAAGAAGCAAAAACAAAACAAUUAAACAAAAACAAGCAAAAUACAAACUGAUACCAUCUACAGUUCAAAUCAACAUCAGAUAAAAGUACCAAAUUCCAUUUAAGCAAGUAGGAAUAUCAUUCAUUACUUACAUAAAUGAAGCUGUUGUCUUUAGCCUGAUUCCCAUCAUCCAACACUACAAUACCAAAAACAUUAUUAAACAACCAACAAUGUAAUAGAUUCAAGAAUAUCAACAAUGUAAUACCAUAAGGAGUACAAGUACAACAACACCAUACCGGGAGGGUAGAGUAUACACAUACCUUACCCCAACAAAAGUAGAGAGGUUAUUUCCAAUAGACCCUCAGCUCAAAGGGAACAAUAGUCCAAAGAAGUCUAAUACCACAAGGAGUAAAAAAAUAACAAAUCAUCUAUUCACUUUGUCCCAAUUUAUGUGACACCUUCUACUUUCCAAGAUUCAAACUAUGUCAACUUGACCAUCAUUUCAACAUGCACUUUUCAUCAUGAGAAGAAUGUCAACUUAUAUUAUCUAUUUUUUUCCAAAAUACUGAGCUGAUCUAAUCUAAAUUAGAUUAUACCAUAAGGAGUUAAUUUUUUGUUAAAUAAAUCAAUUAAUCUACACCUUCUACUUUCCGAAACUCAAACUAUGUCAACUUUAACCACCAUUUCAACAUGCAGUUUUCAUCAUGAUAAAUUUUAAUUCUAAAAUACUGAGUUCAUCUAAUCUAUUCUAGUUUAGCUUCGAUAAGCUAAAAAUGUAACAUAAAUUGGAACUGAAUAAAUUACUACUACAACAUUACAUUUCAAAUAAGCAAUUUAAAAGUAGUUCAAACAGCAAAAUACAUAUGGAAGCUUACCAUCAGAAGUGUCGACAUCAAUGGAAGGGACAUUGUCAGGAAUGAGCAUCAACAGUAAUUUACAGAUCGCAAAUGCGAUAGCGAUAACAAUCAACGGCCACCAGAACGCCAUUAGAAGGUUUCUAGAAGCUUCGAAGAAGACUAAUUAGGGUUUUUCACACAACUCUUAGAAGGAAUUUGAAGGAAUCGCCAUAGCCAUAAGAGAGAAGAGAGAUUCUGAGUUCCUCGUAGACGUCGCUUUUUCAGUCUUCUAUUAAAUAAAUAAAUAAAAAUCAGUGGCGGUCUAAAAGUCGAUUUGCACACAUUUUAAAUAUUGAUAUAUUUUUUAUGGCUGGUUUGGCCGAUUGUACUGUUUAACUUGACUUUAUUUCAUAGCGUGGGAACAAAUAGACAUCUACGACUUUAUUUUAUAGCGCUUGAACAAAUAGAUAUAUACGACUUUAUUUCAUAACGUGUGAACAAAUAGACAUAUACGUCCAGUGUUUUAAAAGACUCUGUUGAAACUCGUCUCAGGGCUCGUUCUGGGGCGGGGCUCUAGCAAAACGCCUCGAGACUCAAAUGUGAGACUUACAUCGGAAUAAAAAUAAACUGCAAAAGCAACUAAGGAAAGUAGCAUUGAUGGAAUGGGGGAUCACACCUUCAGCGGAGAAAUAAGGUGACCAACCCUAACCCUUCAUUCUAUUCCAUAAAGCCUUGGUUUGUAAGACUUACACUCUAAGCGCCCGACUGUAUGCCCUAAGCACGCCCAACGCCCAACGCUCGAGGCUCGCCUUAUAGAUCUUACACAAAUUAUGUGCUAGAAACUUUAGUUAACAUUGUUGACCCUCAUAAUUCUUAAAUAAAUUAAUGAUACUUUAAAAAAAAAUUAAUCUAUAGAGAUAUGAAGAUCGAGAGUAAUUCAAAUAACAAGUUGUAGCAUCGCAUCUUUACUAUUUACACUGUGAAGGUGAUGAUUUAGUACGUAACAUUUUUUUUAAAAAUACGUAGCGAAAUUUUACUUUUCCACUUAUCAUUGGUCUUCAUGGUUUUGUCAUAUGUCUCAAAAUUAUCAUAUUUUAUUUAGCUAUUUGAAAGUGAUUUUAUUUUUUUCAUGAUGGAGUGAUGUUUUUAUUAUAAUAGUAGUAAGUUUUAUUGAUUAUUUUCUUCUUCUUUUUUUUUUGGAGGGGGGAAGGGGAGGGGUAAGGUAAAUCAUAUAGUAUGAUAAAAAUAAUUUUAGAAAUAAAGAUUCUUUUAUUAUAAAAAUUUAAGAUAUUAGAUUAUUUAUACUUGUAUAAUCAUGUUAGAAGUUUUAUUUUCUAUGAGUUUUCUUAAUCAUGUUUGUAAUUAUUUCAAACUAUUGAUAUUUUUUUUAUAAUUUCGUGUUAUUAUAUUAUUAUAUUAUAUUGUAAAUUGAAAUUUAAAGAUCCAUAGGGCUUACGCCUCGCCCUAUACUAAGUAAAAUGCCCCGCCUCACGCCCCCUCCUUUUAAAACACUGUAAACGUCCUACGUGACAUAAUCUAUGUAGGACAAUUAUAUUGUUUCAUUUUGGCAUAAAACAUAAAUAUGAUAUUUAACUGGAUUUCAUCUCACAUCUAUGUCCUUCAAUUUUUGGUGUGCACAAGUACACACUUAAACUUAUAAAGUUGAACGAAUAGACACAUGUCUUACGUGACAUAAUACACGUAGAACAAUUUGCAUCCUAUGUGGAUUAUGUUAUAUGUGAUGUGUGUAUUUAUUUGUUCGACUUUAUACAAAUUCAAGUGUCUACUUGUGAUUAUUCAAAAUUGAAGGACGUAGAUAUUAGUGUAUAUCUAUAUGCUUCACUAAUGAUCACUACGGGUUAAAUGGAAAUUCGGUGCAUAUAAUAUUUGUGUUUGUUGGGUUCGGAAAAGAGUCGCAUUCCGAAAAGUGUGUUAUAGAUAUUCUAUCCUAAUACAAACAUUAAUGACUAUUUCCAUAACUUAUAUCCAUAACCUACAGGUCAGAAACAAUUUUACCAUUACUCCAAAUCUCCUCGAUACAUGUUAGGAAAGGUAAAUUUCAGCAGAGCAUUGUCAGAAUCUAAGAAUGUUUAUAUUCUUUUGGUAAUACUCAAAUAUUAUUGUAAAAUAUUCCUAUAUUCUCAUAAAAGUAAUUAAUACAUAGUUUUUCUUUGCCAACAAUACUUUGCUUUCUGACAAAACAAUGCUUCUCUCAAAAUAAAGUAAACAAAUUAUGACUUCUCCUACAUGUUCAACUCAUGAAAAGAUACAAGUUUCUCUCAUGUUAUACACAUUUAUAACACCUAUCAAUCAUCAAAUAUUUCUACAUUUUAUGGUUUUUGUCAUCAACAACAUAUUCUGAUUUGCAUUCAUCUGGUAACUUCAUUUCACCUCUUACAUCCUAUAGACGUAGCGGAUUAUAAUAAGCAGAAUGCACUGACUCUGAAUCUUGAAUUUGUCCUUGCUUAGCGCGAUUGUUGGAGGUGAAGUAGUACAAAUUUGAGGUUUUUGACUUAUUUUUUUUCUUGUUUUUGCAGUCAUUUAAAAAGUUUAAUGAAGUAAGGCUUUUGGAGGCUUUGGAGGGAGCCAAUUCUACUCAUGUCUCAAGGAAAGAUGAAGGAAGGAGAUAUAUCUUACACAAAUGUCAAGAGAAAUGAUGAUGUAUUACGCGAUAUCGUGCAAGAAGAAGAAGAUCUUGCACAAUCAAUUGAUGAAAAGAUGAAAAAUGUCUCAAGUUUUCGACGUUUCAACAGAGUUCCUCAAGAACUUAAAAAGGGAAGUGAAUAUAGUUACUCUCCUAAAUUAGUCUCAAUAGGUCCUUUUCAUCAUGGAGUUGAUAACCUUAAAACUAUGGAGGAACAUAAGUGGUGUUAUCUCAACACACUUGUUAGUAGAAAACCAAUAAACACACAAACCAUUUUAGAUAAUUGUGUGAAAACACUUAGAAAUUUAGAGGAUAAAGCAAGAAAAUGCUAUAGUGAAAACACAUUUGAACAAAUUGGAAGUAAUGAGUUUGUUCAAAUGAUGUUACUUGAUAGUUGUUUUCUCAUUGAGCUCUUUAUCAAGUUUGUUAUAAAGGGUUUUCGACGUAGAGAUGAUAUACUCUUUAUCAACUAUGACAUGUUUUUCCGUCUUAGAUGUGACUUGAUUCUACUCGAAAAUCAGAUCCCAUUCUUUAUCCUUCACCAAAUGUUUCACUUAGUUCCAAUUCCUAAAGAAUGUACUUACUCCCUCAUGCAACUUGCUUUACUCUUCUUUAGAAAACUGAUUCCUGGUGAUGGACUUGUAACUAUAGAGAAAUUUGGUCCUAAUGUUCACCAUAUACUGGACUUGAUUCAUCAUUGUUAUCUUCCAACGAGUCCACAAGUUCACUCAAAUGGAACACAAAAACAUAUGCAUAAUGUGUUACAUCUUCAUGAUGUAGGGAUUAAGUUCAAGAAAGCAAUAAGUGAUAGUGUCAUGAAUGUAAGAUUCACUAAAGACAGAGUUUUGGAAAUUCCAUCAUUGAAAAUACAUAGCUACUCUGAGAUUUUGUUCAAGAAUAUGGUGGCAUUGGAGCAAUGUGGAACCUUUAGAAGUGGAGCAAAGCACGUUGCGUCUUACGUUUACCUCAUGAAAAGUCUUGUAAGGUCUGCAGAUGAUGCAAGUUAUUUGACAGAGAGAGAGAUUUUGGAUAGCAGUUUGUAUAAUGAUGAUGAGAUUUUUCAACUGAUGAUGAGGCUUCAUGUGGAGUUUGAUGUCAAGGAUUUUUAUUAUAGUGGACUUUGUGAGAAAGUUAAUGGAUAUAAGAAGAAAAAUAAGUGGAAAAAAUGCAGCCAGAAAAUUAGCAAUGUAUAUAAGAAGACUGCCAAAGGAAUUUCAUGCUAACAUUUGUUUUUCUUUCGUAGUUUUGUGUUUUUGCUGCAAUUUUAGUUUCUUUUGUUUGCAUUUUUACUGCACUAUGCUUGAGAAAUUAUUAUAUGGAGAUGCGGAAUUAUAUCUAUACAUGCUUGUUUGUUUUAUUACUGUAUUCAAAGUCAAAACUUUACUGUACCUCUUUGUAACUACGUCAUUUGUCCGUAUAUGUUUUGGCCUUUUCUUGUUGUUGCUUCUGCUUGUUAUUGUUGCAUCCUUUUCGUUUUUCGUUCAGAGGGCCUAUCGAAAACAAUCACUCUACCUUCUCAAAGGUAAGUACUACUCUACCCUCCCUAGACACUAAAUUUAUUGUUGUUGUUACAGCAAAAGAACAUAUAAUAUAGCAUAACAUAAAAAACGGUUCAUUAAAAAACUUGACCAUUAUACGAAAAUGUAGUUAGAUAUGGAAGAUUGUUAUAGAGAAAUCUGAUUGUAUUACUCUUUUACUUGAACAUACAUAUAUGGUUUUGAGUAUUAAGAAUAAAGAAACCAAUCAAUGUCAAACUGAAUUUCUUUGCUUCAUCUCAACUUCUUCACAUCUCAGAGAAAAGACGAUUGUUUUUCUAUACAAUAACACUAAGAAAAUAACAUCUGGUAAAUCAUGUUUACACAUUGGACAAUCUUUAUAAUCGAUGUCACAAUAGCAAAAGGAUAAAUAUACUACAUUUUUUCUGCAUAAGUUGGCUGAAAGCGAAGUAAAUUGCCCCUGUCGAACUCCAUAACUACUGCUGGCAGAUUUAUGAUUCAUCCAUAAAGACAGCGCCGUGUCCAUUAGCUUUCAUGAAUUUCUUAAUCAGAAGUGCAAGUAUAGCAAUUGUAAGUCCAACUGCUGCCCAUGUGAAGAAACGGUCAUCAGCCUGCCUCGGAAUGCUCUGUUGAGGUGUAUGCAAUAUUCGAUGCUCAUUAGGCCGUACAGCAGGGGGCUCUAUAGGUGCAUGUACAGGAUCAGCAUCUAAAGCCAAUUCACGUCUUUCUUCAGUAGUUGUGUCAGCAACAGAUGGAUUAGGACGUCUUUCUUCAGUAGCCUCAUUGCUGGGGUUCUCAGGACUCUCUUGAACCCCGUCCUCUCUAUUACUGUUCUGUUCUUCAGGAGCUGGUGAGGUAGUAGCUUGAGGAACUGGUGGUGCUUUGCUUAGCAUGUAAUCAUGUAUCUAUAAAAUAAACCAACUAUUAAUUCUCAUGCCCACAGAUAACAACAUAUUGGCUGUCAAAAUGAUAUUCAGAUAAUGCUAUACCUCGUCAAUCAGCUUCUGGCGCUCAGGAAUCCCAUAUCUUGGAGCCACAUCACGAGAUUUAAUAGCUAAAACACGCCUUUCUUCCUUUGUGUAUUCUAGUGAUCCAAGGGCACCAUUUGGGCUGGUAGGCAUAAAUGCGAUCAGAGCUACCAGCGCAGUGCGAACUGCAAAUCAAAAGUAAAACAAUUAAAUACAGGUUAGCUUCAGAAGCUGUGCACCUGCCAAAACAUGGGAAACAGCAUCCAUUAAUUCAGAAAACUAUACCACACAGUAGCUUGAUCCACCGAAAAAUGCUCCUCUCUAGUCAAUACAACUAAGGAAUAAUAAUUGCAAAAAAAGGUUGCUCACACUUCACUUUUUUAUUUGAAAUUUUUGCCUACUACAGUGUCUGCAUUUUUGUUUUGCUCAAGUACAGUACACCAGCAGCCAUUAUAAAAAAGUUUAGCGCACGUAUUCAAUCAUAUCUUCUAUCUUUUACAUCCAUCAACACAACCUCAUGCUAUAUUUCAAUAACAUAGACUCAGCUAAAUACAGCCACAAGUUAAAAGCAAUGGAGCAUAUAAUUUUCGAGGGAAAUUUCCAACUCAUGCAGAUGAAGAUAUCUUUUGAUGUCCUAAUAUGUCAUUGCCUAAAAUUUGCAACAAGAGGAACUGUUCUAUUGCUUUCAUGUAAACAGGGUAUCUGUCAAUAUAUCCCAAGAAAAGAACACUAAGACAACAAUAUGAAAGUGAAAUUCAUCAAAAUAUAACACAUAGGGAAAAAUGGUAAGAGAGAAUGAUGAAGUUACCACUCCAUGACGGUUGCCAGUGCUCAGGAUGAUGAUUAGAAAUACUCAAACAAAUCUUGGUUUGCGUUUCAAAACGUCCAUUUGGCUGAAAAGAGCAAAACCAUGAGUUAGCAGAUUAUUAAUAUUAAACAUGAAAUGAAUCAACUCUAAACCUAGAUGGUAAUGGAAUUUGGCUUCUCCUGUUUGUAGCCUGACCCAUCCACAAAACAGACUCCCUUUUGCACCACCACCCCCAUUAAUCCCAUCUAUUCUCUUUCAGUUUGUUAAUCCGCGUACCUUUUGUUUUCCUUUUCCAAACUUUUUCGCUACCCUCCUGAACGAAUUUGUGUAGCGGGGGAGGGGGGGCUUGGGUCACACCUCAAAACUUAUUCAAGAUUUGCACAUGGGGCAAAGCAACGACUUCCUUCAGACUCUUGAGUCAGAUCUUAUCGUAUGGUAAAAAAUUUCCUAAGAUUUGCCGACUUUCCACUUGAAUUAGGAAUCUCUUAGCCUCUUUUUUCCCAUGAUACCUUUUUUUAUCCCUUUUUUUCACAUCAAAACUUAUUAGCACCCUGCCCGGCCCAAUCUGUAAAGUCUGCUUGUGGCAGGAUGGGGUUUGACCAACAACGCUCGCCCUAUUUUAAUUAAUAAACCUUGUUCCAUAAAAUGACUCAAGGAGUAAUACAAGCUUUUAAAAUAGAAAGUAACUCACUGUCAAAAGCAUGAAAGAAGGAGGCUUGAAAGGAUAUUCGGCAGGUAACUGGAUUCGCCCAUGAUAAAUCCCCCCUUCAAACUCAGAAUCUCGUGGACCCCUGAUUGCAAAUUGCCAUUCAAAUAUGUUCUCCUGAAAAAGUAAUAUAAAGUUCAGUUUCAAAUUGCUGUGUCGUUGUGCAACUUCUAGAAUUAAAAAUAACUUGUAAAUGGAAGACAACCAGUCAUUUAUCAACAGAAUUUCAUGCAAGACGCAACCUUUUGAAAGUUAUAUCGACAGAAUCAAUUAUGAUGAAAUUCAUUUACCAGUGAUGGAUUCAAGAUCAUAUAUACACAUGUUACCUCAUAGGAAUAGAAGGAAAAUGCCCAAAAAUCAAAUCUUGACCAUGUAUAUCAUAACACCACAUAGACAUCACACAGAGAGCUAGAAGAGCACAUAGAUCAUUCAUUGUUAGUGAGGUUUAUUCUUCAGCAGGAUCAACUAAUAUCCUUGACAUAUGAACUUAGAUCAUAAAACUUUAUCGAAGCUUAAGAGUUUUAUAUCAUGAGCAUUCUUAUAUAGAACCACUAUCAUAUUAAAUACUAGAAAUCAAUGGUUGCUGCCUUGUCCAAUUUUCAAUUUAUUUUAUUUUGUCAGCAGUAAAUACAGCAAACAAGUUUUUGCCAAACAAUUUCAAAUUAUAAAACUUGUACAUCCAUGCAGGAAAAAUUGCAUCAAGGAAACAGCUGCCCUACCAAUGCAGUAAACCAUCACUUCCAUAGCAAACAAAUACACACACGCCUCCCCACCCCUCGCGACAAAGCAAAUUAGCUAUAUCCUCUUACCUUGAAUACCAACUAACCACACACCCUAUUUAUAUCUACACUCAUACAAGCAGACAAAUUCUCCAAUGUAUUGGACACUUCUUGCUUAUCCCAGUAUAUUUGACUAACUUUCAAAUGGAUCCAGUAAAUUUACUUACAUCCACUUGUUUCACAAUUUUAGCUCAUGUCAAGUGAAUUAGACUAAUUUUCAUAGCCAAAUCAAACUACAUUAAUCCUCAAUUCUGAAAAUUAACACAUAUAAUUUGCAAUUCACCUAAAAAGUUAAUCUUUUUAAUAAAUUUGAAUCUCACAAAGCAAAAAAUGCACCACAUUAAAAUUCUAGAUCCAAACAGAUAAAACAUGAAAGGAUAAGAUCGAUUUCAUAAGAAAAAAAAGGAAAAUUAAGCAAUUAAAUUGAAACCUCAAGAGGAAGGCUCAUGAAAUCAUCGGAAGGGUUUGAUUGCAUCUCUUUAACCUCCUGUAAGAUUCUCUUCACCGCUGGAUUUUUCAGAUUAUACUUGUCUUCCGCCAUAUCUGUUACUCAGAGCCGCUGCCGCUGCCGUCGCCGCCGUCUCUGGUCACCGUAAACCCACAGCCGGUCAAAAAGUAGCACCGAUAAUGAUGAAUAUGAAGAAAAAAAUUGGUGGGUGAGAAUAUAAUAAAUAUAAAGAAAGUGAAGAUGGCGGGUGACGCGUCAUCACUAUGACGUGGCGACUAAUUAUUGGAUAAAAUGACAAAAUCUUAAUGAAUUGUUUUAGUAUAAUAAUAAUUCAUGAUUAUGAAAAGAUUAAUAUAUUGACUAGAAGGGAUGGAUUUAUAGCUUACCGCUCACGCUUAUCGAAGUUAUGCUCGAAAACUUCGUCUAAGGAAUAUUAUAGAGAGAAUUUUAUUUAUAGCUUACCCCUCACGCUUAUCGAAGUUAUGCUCAAAAACUUCGUCUAAGGAAUAUUAUAGAGAGAAUUUUUUGUGUUACGAUAAAUUAUUUUAUACCAAUUGAGUUGUUAGAGGCUUCUUCAACGUGACAGUUAAGUACUAUAUUGUAGAUUACCCUAACUUACUUUUCCCUUACUAGGAUUGACUCUUUAUAAUUCUCAAUUUAGUAUUUAUGAUAGAAGAAAAUUGAACAAAUUUCAUGACAUUUACGAUUGAAAAUUUUGAAACAUUACUUGAAAAGCAUAGUCGCAAACUAUCGAAUAUCAAUCAUUAUUCCUUAAAAGGCGUGUAAACUUGAUUAAAAGAUUCAAGAUCCCAUUAGUUGAAAUGCAAAGUAUGAAACACAUGAUGUUGAAUUCUCAAAUUGGGGACUUGUAAUCUUGUUUCCUAUGGGUAAGCCUCGAAAAGAGGAAUGGGACACAAAAAGACAAACUUGUGGAGAACUUCACCAUCUAGAAAAAGUAGUCUUCUAAAACUCCAAAAAAUAAUUUAAAAAGAUGUAGCUAUCCAAAAACAUUAAUAUUGACCCUUUUAGUGUGAGACUAAAAAAACACCAAUGACCAAAAUCAACCAACACAUCUCCAUCAUGUUUUACUACACAAGAAAGAAAGAAAUUAAGCAACCAAGAGAGAGGCAUGGAAAAAAGGGCAAAACCUUAAACAACAUUGCAUAGUCAUACAAGUUAAGUCUGAAAAGAAUGAGAUGUAUGCAAAUCUUAUUUUUAUCUUUACGGGCUAAAAAAGUUUCAAAAAAGGCAAAAACUUUACCUACACAUAGUGAAGUUCUAGUUCUCUGUCCUAAUUCAUUCUUUCAAAUAAGUAACUAAAAACCUUGAAGUUGUUGAGGUACAACGUCGUUCCAGUAUGAUCCCACAAGUGAGAUCUACUAGAUACACAAAUCUUAUUUCUACCUUGUGUGAGGCAAAAGAUGUUUCCGAUAAACCCUAGGUACAAGAGAAGUGUUUUCAAAAACAGGUUUGACAAAUACAAAAUAAAGUCAUGGUGAAAAUACUAUAGAAAGUUGUUGAGAUACAAAAGAGAGAAAACCCACUGGACUUGAUAUGUAGAGUAGCAAAGAGAUUGGGGGGGGGAGGAAGCCAAGUGAGCUACCACUGUAAAUCUAAUGUACAUAUAUGCAGUAAAUGUUAAUUGUCCCACUCAAAUUUUAAUAUACAAUUAAGCAACAUUGAAACAGAAAAUUUGGCCUCAAGCAACACUGACCUCUCUAAAUUGAAGAAUAAACUUUUCAAGGGCAAAAGUUGGUGCCCAUACAUUGCAUACAAGUGCACAUAACUAAGGAAAGUGAAGAUGGAGUUGGGGGUAGAGAUGAAACCAAAGAAUAGGAGUAACCAAAAUUCUAUAGCUAUGUAAUGUUUUACAGGAGCAAUUGGAAAUGCUAAACGAAAGAGAAAACUCAAGACGGUGGCUAAUCUCUCCCCACGCUUGUAACAACACUGUACAGACUCCCCUCCACCAAUAGUUACGAAAUUCAACAAUCGAAUUGCCUGUUAGAUCAUCACUCAUGUCGAAGUUGUACAGAGGUGUCAUUUGAAGCAAAGCACAUGCUCAAGCAAUAUCUUAUAAAUCAUUGUAGGAGUCAAAAUGCCAUGAUGAUCUCAAAAGAGUCAUGAUCCAUUUACAGCCAUUUCAGGUGAUGAUUUUGGAGGUAUUAAUGGAUAAUCCUCUCCUCUCUGCCUAUUAUCAGGAGAAGUGUGCAUGCUCUCAGAAUAACUUUUAGGACCAUUUGGUUCUCGGUGGUCAUGAUUAUCCAAAUCAGCACUCCCAUUAUCAGUAGGAUUCCCUUUCUCCUCGUGGUUGGACUCGACAGAUUUCUCAUCCCCAUCUGAGCAUGGACCAUCUUGUACUGUACUAUCCAUCUUUUUAGAGGGUAAAACUGCUUGACUUAAGGUUGAGCAUAAAGCAGCAAAAACACUGUCUCGAGACUUUGAACCUUUAGCAAUACGCUGCAACCUUUUUGGCUCAGGCUCUUCUUUCUGCAACAGCUUACGUUUCAACGGGAAAGACUCCACUGACCCAUCUACAUCAGAAUUAUCUGACUGCUUCCUAGGUGGUGGCUUAUAAUCUUCAUCCUCAUCAUCAUCAUAAUCAACAAGCCCCCCAGAUCUAAAGAACAGGAGUCUCAAAAUAUGUUCCCUUAGUUUAAUAAAUCCAGAUUCCAGCAGUAACAGUUACUUACCUCACAGGUGAGACGCUUGGAGCAGAUCCAUUAGGCAAGGCCGGCUGAGACUGCACUCUACUUGCAUUAGUCACGAAUGCUGAGGCAGAAUCUUCCUCGUCACUGAAGGAUACACAUAUUCAGUGUACCAUAUAUAACAUUUUUACAUGCAAAAAAGUAAAGGCAUACCUCUCUUCAUUGAAAUAUUCUUCUUCUUCUUUCUCUAAACCACGGUCAUCAACUCGUUUCCUAGGGUCGUCUAAUAGAUUACCGAUACUUCUCGUUCCUGCACUGUCUAGAGACUACAAAAGACCCAAAACCAUUAUGAGAGCCAAGCAUCACUAUCAAGAGUGUAAUGGUGAACAACAGGCCCAAUGAAUAAUACCUGCUCAUAUUUAAUUUUCAAUGAGUGGAUCGAUGUCAACUUUUCAAACUUGACCAGUUCAUCCCAGAAUGAGUCGACUAAAUACUUGAGCAAUAUCUUCAAGUUAUCCUGCAUUAUAUCAUGUCAGAUCCUAAGAAAUAAAGAAGCCAUGUCACAUUUAACUUUUGCAGUCUAAGCAGGUCAAGGAAGUAAGAUGCAACCUUACGAAUAUGCUCAAAAAGUUCAAGAACAGCUGAGUUUAGAAGAUUGUAGCGAUCUCCAUUAGCAACAAAGACAUCAACAACAGGUUUUAGGAGAUUGUGCUCUGCUAUGUAGUUCAUCAAAUUCUCAUCCUGCAGUUCGUAGUCAGAAGAAUUUUAAUAUAUUCACAAAUAUACAGAAGGGAAACACUCGAUGAUGAACAUAAAAAUAUACUUCACAGUUCAGUCUGCCAAAUUUGUAGCUUAUUGGCGGACAUGUGAAAUGACAUAAGAAGAAGAGAGAAAAACUCUAGCCGAAAUUGAUUGGUUAUACAUGAAAAGAUGAAAAUUGACUCAUGGUUAACCAUGUUUUUGUGUACGUAAUUUGCAUCUCCUUGAUGACUUUCUAAUACAACAUCUUACUUCAUAAAAAAAAAAAAACUCAAUCAUAGUGAACUUACUUCAAACCUACUACUCUAUCUCAUAAGUUCUGGUUACCAGGGAUUUUAGUACAUAUAAACUUAAUUGAUGCACAUAAAAUCGCAGGGUAGAGGAUUUAAUUAGAGGGUGAAAAUUUAUCUGUGCUGCUAGAAGAGCUUCAUCAUCUUACUUUUACAAAUUUUUGUUGCACAAAAUCUUACAUAAUAUCAAAAAGUUAAUUACUAGAUCGAAGUUUGGAUUUGAUUCUUAAUUUUGAUCACCCCUAUUCUACGCCUCAGUGGACUCUAGGAGUCUAAGGCGGUGUUUGGAUUAGCUUAUUCAUAGGUACUUUUGGCUUUUAAGCACUUUUUUGGUUUUAGAGGUGUUUGGAAAAGUUGAAAAGUGCUUUUAAGCACUCACCUUUAGGCCAAAAAAGUUCAAAAAUAAGCCAAAAGUAGGGCAUCCCCUACUUAUGGCUUUUAGCUUUUGACUUAUAAGUUGCUUUUUAUAAGCUUAUCCAAACAGGGCACUAAAGUACUUCAAGUCUUUCCAGUUUUACCUAGUUAUUAUAAGAUAAAAACCUGCAUAAGAUAGGGUCAUUAAAAAAAAACUUGCAUAAGAUAGCUACCAGUUUCAUUCAACAUUAACCAAGUCUCUUGGGCAAUCAUGAACUCAUGAAUCACCACAAGACAAACAGAACAAGACAGAAAUAAGGAGGAUCACUAAAAGAAAAAUUACAGGCCCAUCUACAGUGCUAUGCGAAAAGCCUUUUAUUUUAAUGACCCAGACAUUCCCUGCAAAAUUAGCUGGCCCGAUCCCAGUUGGAGCACAAGUUCGAACUCAUGACAUGCGCCUACCAUGUAUACCACGCUAUACUUCAUUUAUCGUUUGACCAAGGGCCAAGGCCUUGGGGGCUACUUAUAUUAAAACAUGUAAGAGCAUUUAACGGGGUAAAACAUUCACCAUAGAGGACAAAUAAAUCAAAACUUGAUCAAUUCAGUCAUGUCCACAGACAACACUCUCUUGCUUAAUAAAAGUAACAACUCACAUUGCGGGAAAUAAGAGUUCUCAUAAAUCUAACAGCAGCAACUACCAGGUACUUCUCUCUUCUUCGAGUAAGAAACAGAACUUUAUCUAUCACAUUAUUAAGAAGAAAGUUGCACCUGAAACACAGAAAAGAUAUCCACAUUAAACCAAAUAAUCAAAUUUAGCAUUUAAGAACCAAGUAAUUCCAUACCAAGAUGAGAAGAUUACUUUAUUCUGUAAGGAUGGUGCACAAUACAAAAACAUAGGAGAUCACAAAUAUUUAGUAGUAUUUCAGGCUUGACACUACUUUGCUUUCCAGUCCCUCCAUCAAAACUCUCAGAGUUACUGACAGCUUGGGUGAUACCAUCCGUCGGGCAAGAUGAUGUUAUAACAUCAAUGAGUUGACUUAGGUGCUUCUCGUAGAAGAUUUCAACAAUGUUCUCUUUCUGGAACAAAAUUAAAAGAAAAUAAUAAAAACAAGACUUCAAAAUAGUUGUUGAAAUGUAAGAACAAUAAGAUGAGAGACCCUUUUAUUUAUUUUUUAUGUAUCGAACACAUUGUGCGGAAGGGGGGAUCUUUGCAAAGCCAAGAACCCAAAAAUUUCAUUUCAUAAUAACGGAUUGUGAAAUGUAAACUCAGAAUCUCUGCAUACUCUGAUGCCAUGUGGAUUAUGUGAACCACCUCAUCAAAGAACUUGUGCAAUUAAAGAGGAGACACGUGCAUUUUCUUUGUUUUUUUCUCAAACAAUAGCAAUCGAAUACUUCAAAAAGCAAUUAAGUCACAAAAAAAACUAAUCCCCAUCCCAAAGCACAAGGGAAUCAAAUUGGAGAUGCUUUGUUUUUCGAUAACCGGAAAAUCUGUUGCUUCUAGUUUUGAAACUAGGUGAACAAUGGGUAAACUCCUUAACCUUUUCCAUUUAACUGCCAAACUUGAUCCAGAGCAGGAUUAAAGCUCAUUGUGUGUGCCUGCCACAUAUCCUGUGUUGUGCACCUUUGCCCUUGAACCGAAGCCCUGGGUAAUCAAGUUUGCAGAUGCUGAACCGCCUAAAAUAGUAGUGCCUCCACAGGCAGAUACUAAACCACCUAUAGCAGUAAUGCCUCUACAAGUUCAAAUUUCCCAUAGGUAUAUCUUUAGAACUUCAGAAAGGAGAGAAAAUAUGGUACCACACAUCAAAAUCAAGAAAAGGAAAUACAAUAAUGAAGAAACCAUAGAGAAAAUAAAGGAGAAAAGAACAGUAGCAACAACAAAUAAUACGAUAACCGAAGCAUAGGAAACAACAAGUAUAAAUAAAAUUGAAGCAUAGGGUAGUGGGAGAGUACUAAUAAUAAUACUAAUAAGGGACCUACUAACCUUCUACCAUAAUCCUUGACUUCCAUAUCCUCCUAUCUAGAGUCAUGUUCUCAGUAAGCUGCAUGUGUGCCAUGUCAACUAAUCACCUCUCCCUAAUUCAUUUUCGGCCUACAUCUACCUCUCCUAAUACCCACCAUAGCUAUCUCCUCACUGGGGCAUUGCGCGUCUCCUCUACCCAUGCUCAAACCAUCUCAGCCUUGCCUCCUCAUCUUGUCCACCACGGAGGCCACACCCACCUUGUGCCAAAUAUCUUUGUUCCUAAUCCUAUCUCUCCUAGUAUGCCCACACAUACAUCUAGGGAACAAGCAGUAGACGUGAUCAGAAUAUUGUAAUGCAGUAACUCCACUUAGACAGGUCAGAUAUUAUCAGUAUCUAGGGAACAAGCAGUAGACGUGAUCAGAAUAUUGUAAGGCAGUAACUCCACUUAGACAGGUCAGAUAUUAUCAGUAACAAACAGUGUAAUCCCACAAGUGGAGGUCAGAUAUUAUCAGUCCGAAAUAGAAUUUGUUAAAGAUCACUCACCAUCACUAUACUUGGGAAGACAUAAGAGAAAAUGCUAGAUCCAUAAGGAAAAAAGUACAUUGAACAUUAUGUUCGAAGUGCCAACCCCGUCAUUAACUUGACCACCCAGAUUUUUUUGGACAAGGUACUAAAAUUUAACUACCCGGAAAAAAUAAAAAGCUAGAACUGUCGUGGCAAAACCAGAAAAGCUAUAAGCAAAGCACCUGUGAUCCUGAUGCAUAUGAAUCCAAGAGACUGCGCAGAAUUUCAAGAAAUUGGCAAUGCAUAUCAUCCUCAAAAUCUGUUAGCAUACCUUUGACCUGCAAAUUUGAAGCAUGCUAUUACUUACUUCGAGUACCUUCCAUGGUGGCACUAAAAUUAACAAAUAUGGUCUAAGCCACAAAGGACAUGUCUUUCUGCUAAAAUUACAAAAAUAUCCAGCAUAGGAAACAGAAAACAUCAAAAAAAUGAGAAAUGGAGGAAAGACCAAAUACUUCUCCAGCACCAUUUGAUAGUAACAUAAAGCCAAGAAAAAAGAAGAUGUGUACUAAAAUUAACAAAUAUGGUCUAAGCCACUACAAGGACUUGUCUUUCUGCUAGAAUUACAAAAACAUACAGCAUAAGGAAACAGGAAAUGUCCAAAAAGAUGAGAAAUGGAGGAGAGACCAACCACUUAUCCAAUUAUUUAUAUCAUGAAUCAAGCACCGCAUUCACAGCAUAGAAUAACUGACCAUUCAUACAUGACAGAAGAUGCCUCAGAAGAACAUGUUGGAGGGGGCAGGCAUUAGAUAUCAAAACGCAUAUAUUGAAGCACAUCAUUGCAAAAAUAAAUAAAUAUUACAUGAAUGAAUGCAUCUUAAGAGAAAGGUAACCAACAGCCAGAGUCACACUGAUAUACUGGAUAUUCCAUUAGUCUCCACCAUCAGGCAAAAGUUGAUGUAAAAUUCUAAGGAAAAGAAGAGAAGAAAAAAACAAAAUUUUGCUCACCAGAAGCCCAAACAGUGCAAGACCUUCCUGGCGAAUUACAUAAGACCGCAGAAGAUUUGGAUCUUGAUUCAAGAAAAGAAUGAGGAUGUCUGUCCUGCAUCAGUUAGAAUCAUUUUGGAUGAGAAUUUCAUGGAAGCAAAAACUACAAUCAUUUUAAAAGACGAAAGAAAAAGGAAAAGAGUCUACUUGCUAAAAUAUAACGAUAUGGUCCAUUACCCCGUCAGGACUAGCUUCUUGUCUUGGCUCUCCAAAACAUCAGCUAUGAUAUCGAAUAUGCCUUCGUUAAUAAGAUCCCUGCAACCAUAAUAGUAUUUGCAGUUCUAUCAGCUCCAUUUGCUAUGAAAGCAACAUAAGAUAUAUUAGACUGAUAUUAAUACAAAAGAUGCAGCAUAUGAUGCAUACCUAAAUAGACGAUGUUGCUGGCCCACCUGCAAACUCUUACUCAAAGUACAAAACUCAUGCAAAAAGUGCACCUGCCCAAUCCAAGAAAAGGAAAUAACAAGUAAAGUAAUGAUGAGACUACAAAUACCCUUUCCCAGAUCUCCCGAUAAACAUCAGAAUAAGGAACAAAAAAGUAAAGGGUGAUAAUACUACCAACAUUUCAAGAAUAACUGACAAAGGAGUGCACUAUAAAGGAAUAUCAUUAGCGCAAGAACAUGCCAAAUGUUAGGAACAGGUUUUUGGAUUCAUAGUGAAACAAAAGACAAUAAUUGUUAGCACAUCACAGAACAAACUGGACUACAGGAAAGUAGCAUCAGUAGUAAAACUAAUGUUAAACAGACGCAAGGAUAUAUAAGUUUACCAAUUGCAGUCCCACCUAAGCUCAAGGUUUUCCUACAUUUCCAUUAAACAAAUUUUAUAUCUGACAAGAUGAGUAAUAAGAGGGGAGAGGAUCUUGACACAAUCAGAUCCCUAGAGGAAAGGGUGGAGCUCGAUUUUUUGUCAAAAAAAAAGGGUGGAGCUCAAGUACUUCUCACCAGUUGGCGUAAUAAUAAAAUUUUACUUUCAGUUGUCAAAAUAAAUUUUCACCAGUUGAUUCUAGACCCCAAAUCUAGCCUACACAGAAUUAUUAAUCCAUAGGUUGAAGGAGACGAUCCUGGAUUCUACUCAGAUUCCUCCCCAGCUUGUAUUAGAACUCAUAACCAUAAUGCUGGUCAGGACCAGGAUGCACAAAACACACGCACCGUUUACAUUUAAAAAUAUAUGGAUUUUUGCAUAAUAUUGGGGGGUUUGGGGGUUGGGAUAAUCAAUUACCCUCAAGUUUCUGCUUUGACCAAUUCAAAUUUAAUGAGAAAACAGCAAGCAAAGAAAAUAUAAGAGAAUGACCAACCAAAACAAAAAAUAGAUGAGUCCAAUGACUAAACGAACAAGCAAUUAUCAGAAGCUGACAACAUAAUGAACAAUUAAAUGUCUUCUGAGAAAAAAGAAAAAGAAACCAACUAAUAGCUGCAAUGCAACAGAGGCAACCCAAAAUAAAGAGGAAACAACAAUUUUCUUUACCAAAUUUUUCUUUGAUUCUGCAGAUGUAGAAGGCAACUUUAACUUUCCAAGCAAAUCCUGAAUGAAGGUGCUAUCAUCUUUUAAGAGAGAUACAACCUAUAUCAAAACCAAACAGUCAAGAACUAUAUUAACCAGAAGAAACAACAUUUUAACUUCAGGAAGAAGAUCUUACAACUGCAUUGUUUGAAUGGAUUAUGGAAUUAAGGUUUGCAACUAUUGCAUCAUCCAACACUCGAGGCAAAAUGGCAUCCUGAAAGUAAGCCUACAAACUGUAAGUUACAUUGAUAGUAUAAGGAUGUCAUCUAAAAAGUAAAACAUAAUCACCUUAAGAUAGCCAACUCGGUAUGUUUGAUGUAUCUUCGAUAGGACUAUCGAAUCUUUAAUAGAUAUAGCCUAACACACCCACAAGGAAAUAACAGAUAUCAAUAAAUGCAAACUGAACUAACAUUGAAGACAUUUCAGCAAACAUUCCUUAGAGGUACUAUUGCAGCAGGAAGAAAAGGUGUAGAAAAGAAACAGUGUACCUCCUUAAAGACCACAUGCUCUUUGAGAAAAUUGCGAUGAUGAACAUGAGGAGCAUCUGGAUCAUCUGUUGACCAAAAUAUGAAUCAGGUCGUCAGGACAUUCCAAAAUGAGAUCAAUGUCUUCAGAGUAAGAGGUUGGAGUAAGGGGUUGGCCAUUCAGUAUAUAAUAAUUAAACAAAAAGUUCUAUAGGAAUUAAAAGACAUUUUAACUAAAAGUUGAAAGCACUAGGAUCAAAAACGUACAUUCAAGACACCCAAUAAUAUCUAUUAUCAGCUCAUCACCAAAUAUUUUUUCAAAGAUCUGAGUGCUAUUGAGCAUCACUGCAAGAAACCAUUUCAUGCUGAUUAAUUCAAUCCCACAAAACAAGCCAAAGCAUACCCAAAUGAAGAUGGGAGACAAGUAGGAAAUACUAACUGAUUCCUCUCACUAUUUUGAAAAUAAUGUGAAGAUUCUCAAUAUUCUCCAGAUCUUCGGAAAUCCUAAAUAAAUCCAUCAGCUUACGGAAAAAAACUUGCUGCAGAACAAAAGAACCCGGUUCAGUACGAUUCACCUAUUGAUCCGGAAAACAAGAAGACAAAUGAUUAAACAAGUAAUUCUUAACAUGAACAGAAAUCAAUAAAAAAGCGAAACACUUGUCUUGUUUCGCCCUUUUUGGGAUAGGAGUAGGGAGGGCUCCUCUCCCGUUUUUCUCGUCUUAUACAUAGCGUCAGAAACUCCUCGAGAGUUCACCACUAACUUGAAUAGAAUACUGCACUUUGCAUAAAGAAUUUUCACAAACAGUACAAAAGAGUCGGUCAUUUCCAACUAUUCCAAGACUUGUAAAAGGAUGAAGGAGGCAUGCAAGGAGACAGCAGUGACUGAAGAUCUUUCAGAGUUUUGCCAGCGACAGAAAAAUCUUUACACAUCCAGAGUGAGUAGUGGACCUAUGUUGAGCUACCAGCUGGCCCAGAUUGUUUUCAGUUUGAUAGGAAAAGAGCCAAAGUGGUGAAAAACAGGAGGGGUGAAGAGGGGUGGGGGAAGGGCACUGGCAGUACAGAGUACUAACCUGUACAUAUAGCCACCACUUUAAAGGCAGAGCAAAGUUUAUUAUACCAAUCAAAAUUUUACAUCUAACUUACACAAAACAAAGUUAUAAUCAGCUGAUGGUUCAGUUCCAAUUUUUCCAACUUAUCUAUAACAGAUAAUCAAGUUCUCAUCCAGUUUUUGUUAAUGUACUUGAUAAUUGCUUCAAAAAGGUGAAGACUGGACAUCUAUGUUUUCAAGUGGGUAAUGAAUACGACAGCAAUUAAUUCUGAAGCUGACAUGCUCGAAGCAAUUUCACAACCAUCACUAAUCUUCAAUUUCUUUGUUAGGAGGAAGAUAUUACUAAUGCUAAUUUGAGGUCAUGAAAUCCCUCAUUCCAAUGACAAUUAAUUGUCCAAAAAGAAGUCAAGCUUAGAGAACUGCAAGAUUCAUGAAGCUCACAUCGUUCAAUAUUAGUUCGGUAACACGCAACUGAUCAGCAAUGCCACCCUCUACAACCGUCUGCAAGUCAAACAAUAAACAACAUUUUCAGAAAACAGUAAACAGUAUGAAAAGAUUUGCACGACUCGAAGUGUAUUGCCUUCACACACAAAAGCAAACAGAGCUUUUCCUAUAUUAUAUACGCUAUACCUUAUAAUUUUUACAUGCUUUUUUUUUUGCACCCAAGGGUGUGGCCUAGUGGUCAAUGAAGUGGUUGAGAACCCUAAGGCCUCAGAUUCAAAACUCAGCAGAGAAAAAAAAAAAAAACUAGGUGAUUCUUACCAUCUGUCCUAGCCUUGUCCAGCCUUGGUGGACAGAGUUACCUUGGUACAUGUUGCUAGUGGGAUGUAUCCUGUGGUAUUAGUCAAGGUGUGCAAAAGCUGGCCCGGACACCACGGUCAUCAAAAAAGAAUUAAAUGUUUUUUUGGUUAGUAUUGAGAAAGCAAUCCCCACCCCCGCCUGUUGAUUACUAAGGCACACCCUCAAGUGCAACUUAGAGAUUUGGUAAUUAUCAAGGCAAUAUAAGAAAAAGACAUUUCAACUAUUUUAAGAUAAUAAAUGUUGAAAGGAUGACAAAGAUAAACCUUUAAUAUCAAGGGAAGCGUAGAAAGCUCAACGGGGGGUAACUCCUUCAAAUCACUGUUGACACUAUGAAAUGUCUCAUCUGAAAAUAGUAAAAGAAAAGAAGAAAAGAAACAAAUAAGUCAUGCACAUAAAACCUUUUUCCAACAGGUAUGAAAAAAUUAGUCAACAAAAAUAUCAAUAGUUAUUUGUAAGCACAAGAGAGCCCAAUGAUAGGUGUCCCAGAAGUAGGAGAGAAACUGUGUGGACCUAUUUUUGUAAAAGGCAGCAAUUUAUUCUUUCCUUGUCAUCAUCCUUCUAAAUUUUACUCUUCUUUUCCAAAAACACUCAAGACUACACCAUGUGUUAUCAUGUGACUCGUGUCUCUCCACUGGAGGAUCUCUGCUAAAGGUGGACAGCAGAACAUACCCUCAAAACCCCCAUUUGUCAGUUAAUUGAAAAUGUCGAAAAUGAAAUGUGAACUUGAGAAACAGACUUGGUAAUAUCUCUGGAAGCUAAUUUCUAUAUUUUGUAAUUAAGCAGGAGUACAAUAUCAAUACAUAUAAAGUUAAAAGUGAUCCUUGACAAUUAACACUUCGCCAAGAAAAUAAGAACAAAGGAAGAACUCUACCAGUCAAACGACAAAAUACACAUAACAAAUCAUUACAGAUUUAUAUAUCUUAGCUUCACGCCUAAGCAAUAGAGUAUAUCUGUAUAGAAGAACACCAGUAUACAAGAAGUAUACCAAAAAGUAGAAAAGCUUACAAAAAGAUAUGUCUUUCUAUGAAUGGCACCUAUUCUUUUUAUUUUUAAGUUUAUAUACCGAGAAAUCCAUCUAGAGCACAACCCUUAAGACAAACACAACCUUCAAAACUAGAGAGAUGAUGGGCACACCCUCCACCCUUCUCCAUUUAAAUACUAGGCUUAGGCUUGGCAUAAGGCUUGACCCCAUGACCUAAGCCACAAUCUUCCUCAACCUUUACCAAGUGAGCUAAGCUGUGCAGGGGAACUUACAUUUAAUCUUCUAUACCUACAGCAACCUCGUGGGUGCACCAAAAGGAAAUAAAGAAUAAGAAGAUAUUUCUCAAGUGUAAAAAAUCCAUCUCUAUUCCAUCAAAAGCUCUUAUAAUUUUCUCUCCUCAUAUAGUACAUAUAAGUAUUAGUGAAGUAACAUCGCAUGCCUUGCAUCUUCUCGUUUGUCUAGGACAAGUCUAGCUAAAUAAUACUUUUUUGAAGGAGAAUUUCUAUAGCAUGCUAUUUCUCAAUGCAUCCAGAGGAUUGCGGUGAAGCAACCCAAUAUCGUCAAUAACACAUCUCGUUUGACUCUGCCUAAAAUCAUCAAUAAUGUGCCUUAGAUAAACUAAUUUUGGUUCCCAGCAUCAAAAUUUAUACAUAUCAUGACAAUAGCAAUUAAGUGUUUAAUAAUAGCAACUGAAUUAUUCGUCGGGAAACAUUUUCAUGCUAAAUCAUGAUAAUUGCAAUUGAGUUUUACAUUUCCUGUUUGGCUAUUGAACCACAUAAUGCUAACCCAAGUAGAUUAAUCUCAUUUCAUUUUGAUUAAUUGGAGAACAAUAGACCGAAACUUUUCAAUGUACACACUGCAUAUAUCCUCAUGGGGCCAGAAAUAUGACUAUUCCCACGUGAGUACUAUAUUCACAGACAAACUUUUGAAACUCAGCAUCAUGGGAACUCAAUAAUGUUCCAUUUGUCAAGUGUACAAAAAGAUUACUCUAUAGACUCACUGUUAAGACUACUGAAGUGCAUGUUCCUUUGCACGCUACAUAUAUGGUCCCUACAAAAAACAAAAACAAAAAAAAGACAAGAUGUUAUCUGCUGGUGUUUCUAACAGCUUCUAUAAAAUCUAAGCAACCUUAAUACAAAUAGAUUAAGGAUGGUAGUAUAACCAAGAAAAGAGGAGAAAAAUACAAAAUCAAUUUCCAAAAACUUGCCAUAUAUAGGAGCAACCAGUCGUCUCUUGAAAGCUAAGAGCUAGUUCAGUUGAAUAUUCCGGAUCCCUCCAAGAUAUAAUUGUAUCUGAAUAGAAGAACAUGUUUUCUCAUGAAACUGUACACUAACAUAACAGAAGUAAUAAACAGGAAGAAAGGAGACAAAACUAUGGAGCUGGAGGACACCUUCUUGCUUCCGAUAGAUAUCAUCUGCACUGAUACGGUGCAGAAGCAAAGUCUCAUGAUCUUCUUCAUCAGCUACAAGCAAUCCUAGAUCUUCUGACCUCUGCAUUGACAUCCACAAUCAGAUGCAAUAAAAAUUAACCCCUCCCAAUCAGUGCAAAUGACACGUUAUUUGCCGACACAAACAAAAUGGCAUAAGCUGAACAUCAAUAUUCCACGAACACUUACCUCUAUAUAAUCUACAGUAACAUGACCUGUUCCUUGAUCAUCCCAUUUCCCAUCGUCAUUCAGGCGAUAGACCUUUACACGCUGCAGUGCAGAUGAGACAAAGGUUAAUAUUACAGAAUUGAUGUAAUACAAGAACAGAAUAACGACCAACAGCAAAGCUAAACAUAUUAGCAGGUAAAGCUGCUUAAAGUUCCUCAGCCUGUAAAGAAAUCAUAGUUGAGACACGGCAGGAAGUUUCUUCUUUCUUAGAGGUUUGUGUGUGUGUGUGUGUGUGUGUGGGGGNNNNNNNNNNNNNNNNNNNNNNNNNNNNNNNNNNNNNNNNNNNNNNNNNNNNNNNNNNNNNNNNNNNNNNNNNNNNNNNNNNNNNNNNNNNNNNNNNNNNNNNNNNNNNNNNNNNNNNNNNNNNNNNNNNNNNNNNNNNNNNNNNNNNNNNNNNNNNNNNNNNNNNNNNNNNNNNNNNNNNNNNNNNNNNNNNNNNNNNNNNNNNNNNNNNNNNNNNNNNNNNNNNNNNNNNNNNNNNNNNNNNNNNNNNNNNNNNNNNNNNNNNNNNNNNNNNNNNNNNNNNNNNNNNNNNNNNNNNNNNNNNNNNNNNNNNNNNNNNNNNNNNNNNNNNNNNNNNNNNNNNNNNNNNNNNNNNNNNNNNNNNNNNNNNNNNNNNNNNNNNNNNNNNNNNNNNNNNNNNNNNNNNNNNNNNNNNNNNNNNNNNNNNNNNNNNNNNNNNNNNNNNNNNNNNNNNNNNNNNNNNNNNNNNNNNNNNNNNNNNNNNNNNNNNNNNNNNNNNNNNNNNNNNNNNNNNNNNNNNNNNNNNNNNNNNNNNNNNNNNNNNNNNNNNNNNNNNNNNNNNNNNNNNNNNNNNNNNNNNNNNNNNNNNNNNNNNNNNNNNNNNNNNNNNNNNNNNNNNNNNNNNNNNNNNNNNNNNNNNNNNNNNNNNNNNNNNNNNNNNNNNNNNNNNNNNNNNNNNNNNNNNNNNNNNNNNNNNNNNNNNNNNNNNNNNNNNNNNNNNNNNNNNNNNNNNNNNNNNNNNNNNNNNNNNNNNNNNNNNNNNNNNNNNNNNNNNNNNNNNNNNNNNNNNNNNNNNNNNNNNNNNNNNNNNNNNNNNNNNNNNNNNNNNNNNNNNNNNNNNNNNNNNNNNNNNNNNNNNNNNNNNNNNNNNNNNNNNNNNNNNNNNNNNNNNNNNNNNNNNNNNNNNNNNNNNNNNNNNNNNNNNNNNNNNNNNNNNNNNNNNNNNNGGGGUGUUCUAAACAAAAUAUACAAAGAUAGAGCUACAAGAAUGUAGAAGAAUAUCUACAUUGGUCUCCAGAAAGGCACACAGAACAAAAGAUGCUACAAACUACACAAAUAUUCCAAUCCUUCCUGCACACCUGAAUUGGAGACAAUAUUUCAGCUGGGAACGACAAACCAAACUUAGUUCCCUCAUGUAACGAAUUUGCACCUUAUAAAAAAUAACGGGUAGCCUAAUCGUGCCUUAAUUAACUGUAGUACAUCUUUUAUUUUAAUAAAAGAGACAUCACAUAUCCUUUUUUUUCUGCAGAAAACUGGAUAGAGUUUAAUACCCAAAAAAAAAAAAUCCUUUUGAGAGAAGGUAAUUGUAGUUUAAUGCCCAAUCUCACAUCCAACAGAAUACAAUUACUCCCUCCACGACAAGUAUCAGAUGGUCAAGUUACUGGUAUAAGAAUAGGAAAUGCAAUAACCAUCUAUAUUUUCAAAUGACCUAACCAGGUAAUAUCCUACAUCAGCAUAAGGUCACCUCUACUGUUAUGUCGACUGAUACACACAAAGAAAUUUUACCAUUCUAACAAACUCUACACUAAAUGUGGCUCUUGAUAUCAAUCUGUUGAUCAACAAACAUGUCACAAUUCCAAUACAACUAGAGUAAGCUAUGAAGAUCCACAAUAUCCAUUGGCUCAUUCCAAUGCUAAAUAAAAUGCCUCAGACAAAUUAGGCUCCCUAAAUGAAUCUUAACUAUUUGGUACCACCUUUAAAUAUUCUUUAAAACAUGAUAUUCUAUUCUUAGCUACUGUUGCAAGUCAAGAGCAGAAGCAGACGGAGAAUCAUAACAACCAGCAUAUGGUGGACUAUUUGGAGGGAAAGAAAUCCUAGGUUUUAGAGAAAAUAGAGAAUAGUAUACACACACACACACAUAUAUAUACAUAUAUACACACACACACAAAGUUACAAUUUUCCAAAAAACAAAAUAGCAAGUUUGCCAAAGCUUCUGGGAAACCCAAAGUGCUUAUUUUAUUUAGAAAUGUUUUUGAGUAGUAGCAGAAGUUGUUUUUCAGAAGCUGAAAAAGUUUUUUUUCUCUGAAGCACUUUUGAACAAAUUGUAGAUCUAAUAAUGGCCAAAGGAUUUGAAAAGACUUCCCAAAUGAAAUUUCCAGACACAAACUGCUAUUUUUUUUAUGAAGUAGAGGCAUAUAAAUAACAAAAGCAUCGAGGAAAUGCGUAGGUUACAAAAUAAAGGAAGAACAAUCUGUCAAAAGACAAGGGAGCUGAUAAAUUCCGUAAAAGAGUAUGGGCUAUUCUCACUUGAUCGGAAAAAAAAAGUCAAGGCUAUUCUCCAAAAGCUUUUUUACUGCAAAAGCACUUUUGAUAAAAAAGCACUUCUCAAAAUAAGCAGAUUAUGGAAGCUUUACAAACAGGAUUAAGUCUUCAUUAAUUCUGAGAGGUUUUCGGCAUUUUGAGGGAACUUCCAAUGUGUGAUUAUAGGUUUCUCCCCCUCCUUUUAUUACUUUUUUCUUAAUAAGUAAUGAAAAGUUCUCCUUUAUUACCUUCAAUCCUCUUAUUGUUAAACACCUACCAAUCAGUGGAUUUGGAGGUUUAUGCAAGAUAAGACCUAAUAAUCUCUAGCAAUCUUCUCCGAUUUCGUCCUCUAUAUUUGCUCUUUCCAUCUUCUACCAGAUCUAAACAAUUUUCAUAUUAUUUUUUGAUAAAUAAAUAGAGCACAAAAAUUCAUGUCGCCGAAAAUGGAUCAUUUCUAAUAUGUCCAAUCUUGUAUUAUCGUAAACCAUCUCUUCAUUAUACAGAAGAAAAUAUUAUUAAUGUACAAGGACAAGCACUAAACUAAUGUUGGACAUAACAAAAUGGGAGGCCCAUAUAUACAAAAUACAAAUACAAAUCAUAUGACAUUCAUCGUGUGGACACAUUAAGCCUCGGACACCCACAUUUACACCCAUAUGUCAUUGUUGUUUCCAUAUAAUCGUGUUGGUCUCACAACAGCUUUAUAAAUUUGCAUAAAAUGUUGUUAGGUAUCAUCUUCUUUUUUGAGAAUGAUAUGCUGCUAGGUAUCUUUUGGUCGUAUAGUAGUCUUGUAAUACUCCAUUUUUCAACCAUAUUUUUUUUAAUGACCGUGGUGUCCGCCCAGCUUUCGUGCACCUCGACCCAUUUCAACCAUAUUAUUCUAAUUCAAUGUGUUACAUCUUCAUCUAUGAUCCAUCACAUCAUUCUUCCGGAAGACUAAAGCCCACACAUUUAGGUUGUCAGCAUUUAGGCACAAACAAUCCUAAAUUAUCUAAUUCACGAUCAUUCUUCUUAUCCUAAAACCCUUGCACAAUAAAGUGCUUCUCACAACCAAACUUCCAGCCUACUCCUUCACAUGUUAAACUUCAAACAAUCUAUCAAAGCUAUACAUCUCCACAAAAAUCAACAUCAGCUAGCCAGACUUGUUCAAUUUAUGCCCUCGUUUAUCCCAGACAUUGUUUAACCUCACAAAAGGUGGAGGAUGUUGAAUAUUGUGUGUCAAUACAAAGACAAAAUUGAUUCUUUCUUUGAGCAGUGUAUUAAGACAAAAAUAGCUUUGUGAUCUAUCACAUUAAGUUCGCUUUCUUGUUCCCUCAAUAACAUAACAAGAUCCCUAAUGAGACUGUACACAAUUUUCAAUUCUUUUUUUCCACAAAAAAUCCAGAUGGUAUGGGAAAAUUUUCUCCUGAUGCCUAACGAAAAAGUUGACUUUUAGAUUCUAACAUACAAAUCAAUAAUGCAGGUCCACUUUCAGUAAGACUGAUCAGUACCGAAACAACAUAACUUAGUCUAAUAUCAACUGCGGAGGGAUGAAUAUUAUAGAUAACAAAACCCAUAAGAAUUCAACAGGAUACAAAGCAAACAUAGAAGACAUAAUAUUCCACCUUGCCACAAGUACCUUCUGAAAUGAAACUGAACCAAAACAUAAAUGCUAGAGUAGCACUGCGGAAAAAACCCAGCAAAUAUGAUUUUUUGAGCUCAGCUACCUUCAUACAAGCCCCAAGGCUUUGACAUGUGUCCAAAAGUGAAAUACUUUUUUGGUAACGGAUAUAUUCUGAGACAGGUUAUGUAUUUCUAGCUCAAACGGAAAGACAACAACAAAGCAAAUUCCCCUCGGACCCACUUCAUAAAUACUCAUACCUAGAAAUCCCCUAAACCAAUGACUCAGUUUGAAAUUCACUGUAUAAUUGGCUUUCUCCACGAUAAAAGAAAAAAAUUGACUCCAACUCAAAAUAUAGCCGGUACCAGGUCCCAAGUCCCAAUAAAGAAGUUUCACAAUACCUUAGCAGCCAAAAUGCACAAUACACAGUCAAAUUCUAGUUAAAUAUCCAAUUCCAGCUAGUUCAAAAUUGAGACGUAAUCAAUUCCAUGAUAAUUGAUUUCAAAGGGAAAAAAAAAGCUAAAUCAGUGUGACUUUAGUCUUUGGGGUUACAAAGCAAAGAAGCGAUUUUCGACUGAUGAAAUUCUGUAUUUCUAGCUCAAAUGCGAAGACAACAACAAAAGCAAAUCCCCCUCGACCAGUGGCUCAUAUUCAAAAUUCAAUGUAUAAUUGGCCCGCCCCCCUACUCCUCUCCACUUCAUAAGCACGUUUAUCAUACUUCUUACCUCAAUUUUCAAACCAAUAAAAAAAAAGUAACCUCACACUCAACCUACAGAUGCAAAACAUAUCCUGUCCCAAUAAAGGAGUUCCACCUUACCUUAACAGCUAACAUAAAAUAGUUAAACUAAAAUCACAUAUACUCAAAAUCUAGCUAGUUCGGAAUUGAGACGUAAUCAAUUCUGUAUUAAUUAAUUUCAAAGAAACAAACAAAAAAGGAGCUAAAUCAGUGUGAAUUCAGUCCUUAGGGUUAUAUAAAGCAAAAGGAACGAUUUUUCCAAUUGAACAAUCAACAAAACUAACCUGCAUCGGAUUACUAGAGUUUGAUGACUUCUCUUGAGCACCCAUAGAAACUUCUAGAACCCAAAUUUCACUGUGCCUGCUGUUUUCGGGAGAAUGAUUGAAAUUAGGGUUUUUGAGUUGCAAAAAAAGGGGAAAGAGAGGAAGAGAUAGAAAUGAAGUAUUUGAGGUUAUUUUGGGUAUAAAUUCGGGAUCAAUUCAAAACCCUAACCGCCAUUGAUGAGUAGUGAAUCUUCUCUCUUUCUCUCUCUUCUUUCUCUCUCUCUUCGUUUCUUUUUCUUCUGAAGUGUUCGUGCCUGACCUGACCUUUGGGAAUACAGAAGCAGUACAUUUGUUGAUUGUACAAAAUGACUUUAAUGCCCUUAGAUUGUGAGAAAAAUAUUGGAAUUGCCACUGAUGAAAAAUAAUUUAUAAAAUAUUUAUAUUGAAAAAACUAAAAUAUAUUUAUAAUAAAAAAGUGUCCGGAUUCGUAUAGAGUAAUAUGUGCACCACUUUUUUAGAAGCUUUCGGCUUAGAAGUUUGUUCGGCCUUCUUUUUGACUCAUCCUUUGUUAUUGGCUUCAGAUACACCGCCUUAGGAUUUGGUGUGCUCGUUAAGGUUUUUUCACCAUUGUAGUGAAAGAAAAACGACUAUAAUAUUAUAUUUAUUACGAUUCAAUCUCAUAGCAUGUAUUGUUUAUUUUGGUCGGAUGAAUCUCGCAAAUUUGUCUAUUAGACAACAUUAUAGCCCAAAAGUGUGUGUACCUAUGAACUUGUCGUACGCAUUAUCAAGUUAUGCACUUUCAUCUCUCCUUCUGACGUGAGAUUCACCUAAAGUGUCAUGUACAUUGGUUUACCCUCCAAAUUCACGACAUUGCCUACCUAUUUGAUCAAAGUGUCUUACAAUUUAAUAACAAUAACAUAUUUAUAGUCUCGCAAAUAAGGUUUGAGGAGAAAGGUGUAUUUAUCGUCUUUAAUGAUUAAAUUCACACUUUAAACUAAAUAUGAUGACCAUCAUAUUGCCAUUUUGGUCUUUUCCACAUGGACCAAAAAGAUCUGUCUAUAAAAACAAAAUAUCUUGUAUUGCUAAGUUGAUUCUUUAGACAUAAAAAUAUAUUGGACCAUCCUUAACAACUUAAAAUGUGAAUGAUAUACACAUGUGAAACAAAUAAGGAAAACUAACCUUAACUAACUUUUGGAACACCAUUAAUUCAUCAUUAUCAAAACUCAAAAAAGAAGAAAAAAAUAUUUUAUUAGGUAUGCAAUAAUAAUCUAUAGUACUAAGAAAAGGGCCCACUAUUCAAGUGUUAAAAGAAGAAUGGAGCCUCACACAACUAUUGUUGGUUGAGCCACUAUCAUUAUAAAAAAAAUUCUCAUAUUUCGCUAAACUUUUAACUCACUCAAUGACAAUAAAUCACACAAAAAUUUAAAAAUACAAGAAGAAGAAGAGUAGAAGAUUAAAAACAAUUGUUGUUGAAAAAUGAGAGAAAGUCCCUCUAUUUAUAGUCAACAAAGGGUAGUAUAAACAAAUUUUUUUGUGUCUUAUCUAAAAAGUCAUGACCUUUUAUGAGAAAUUACAACCCUUUCGAAAAGUCAGAACUUAUUGAAAAAGUCACAAUCUUUGGAAAAAUCACAAUUCAUCGAAAAAUCACAACCCUUUGAGAAAAAUCACAACUCAUAUGAACAAAUGUUUUUGUAUCUUAUCUGAAAAGUCAUGACCUUUCCGAGAAAUCUCAACCCUUUGAAAAAGUUACAACUUAUUGAAAAAGUCACAACUCUUUAGAAAAGUCACAACUCAUCGAAAAAACUCAACAAUUUGAGAAAAGUCAUAACUCAACAAAAAAGUCACAACCUAAGUUAGGGAUAUUAUAGUAAUUUAACAUUCAAGUUAGGAGNNNNNNNNNNNNNNNNNNNNNNNNNNNNNNNNNNNNNNNNNNNNNNNNNNNNNNNNNNNNNNNNNNNNNNNNNNNGUUAUAGUAAAUAGUAUUUGCUUAUUUAAGCGAAGAUUUGAAUAAUAAGCUUAGCAAAACAUAAUACUCCAUCCGUUUCAAAAAGAGUGACCUAGUUUGACUUAACACGAAUUUUAAGAAAAUAAUGAAGACUUUUUAAAAAAAUUAUCAGUUAAAUGCAAUUAUGUAUACAUUUAUUUUAAUUUGAUGAGAUUCAAUCAUGUAAUUAGUCUUAUCUCACUAAUAUUACCUUAUAGAUAAUAUUUGUUUUUGCAUUUUUCUUGUCAUCUAACCAGAUGUGUUUUGCAUGUGUAUUCUACCUUAAAUUGUUUAGAUAUCAUAUGAACAUGUGAAGAGAACAACUAUAUUUUAUAUAUUCACAUAUUUUCACAUUUGUUGUGAGUUUUUUUUUUUUUUUUUAAAGAACUCGAAACAUUUUGAAAUAACAUAUUUUGAAGUAAGAAGAUCUCGUUAACUUGAUAACACAUUUGUGACAUAUAUAAUACUUUAAUUUAAAUACAAAUACAUACCCAAAUUUAAAUAUAUAUUUGCAUAAAUGAAAAUAUCUAUCUCAUAAAUUAGGUAUUAAAUAAAAAAUAAAAAAUAAACUAAUAUAAACUUCAACAUGCGUUAUUACAAGUCAUAUGAACUUUUCUUCGUCUAAAAUACUAAAAUAUUAAGAAAUAGUAAAUAAGUAAAACAAAAGAGCAAUGUUUAUUUAGUACUAUCUAUUUUGAACCAAACUUCCUGAAAGUCUAAAUCACAUGAAUAACAUUGAUAAAUAUAUUCAUUCUUUUGUCUUGAGCAUCAAAAACAAAUCGCAACAAUUCUCUAAAUUUGAGAAAAAGAUAUUUAGAAGCAUAUAUCUACAUCAUAAGAGAAAUUGUUAACAAAAACAAAUAAAUUUAGACUACAUAAUGGUAACUUCAUAUAUAUGAACAUUACAUACUAAUGUAUAUAUUAAGAAAAACAACAAUUAUUAUAUCAUCAAAAUUAUAUUAUUUUCCUCAAGUACUCGAGGUUAUGGACACUUUGAAAAAGUCACAACCCUUUGAAAAAAGUCACAACGUUAAUUAGGAAUAUUAUAGUAAUUUAACAUUCAAGUUAGGAGUUCAUGCUUUUAAGGUAAUAUAGAUAUAGAUUAGAAACCUGGUUGAAUUACCUGGUAUGCUAGUCAGUUAAGGACACUGUUUUUCUAGGAUAAACAAGAAAGCACUGAAAGAAGUGUUAAGUUCCAUAAGAUGGUUAACAGAAUGGAAAUUUUAGCCCAUAUUUGUAUAGCUCAAUCUAACUUUCAACAAGUGCUAUUUCUUUUGCACUACUGAGAUUAUACUCACCAAUCUGAUUGCAGAUUAGGACUCUAUCAAAGAGCCAUACCCAACACUAACAUAAAUAAGAUCUAUAUGUAUCAUUUCUCCAGUGCAGAGAAAACCUUAGGACGAUAGUUUUCAGCAUGCAUAGUUGGAGCUCAACAAUGGAUCACAUAGCUUAAACUUAAGGAAGACAAUUCACAUAUGCAGGAAAACAAUUAUCUCGAAUAAGCAAAUCCAUAAACCAGAUGACGUUCCACAAAAGACUAUACAUCAACAAAUCAGAUAACACUAGUUGGAGUCUGCUAUGUGAAUCCUCCAAAUUGAUUCAGCCUUCUUCCAUCUUCCCUUUUCAGUCCAACUAAAUAAUUGUAUUUUAAGACCAACUAGAGAUUUUCUAAAUUAUAAUAACAAAUGAUAAGGCUGAAAAACACGCUGAUUGCACAAGUGACGAAUUGCUAAAUAAGCAUAACAUGAAUUGCAAGGGUAGUGGCGUUAAUGUAAACUGUUUCCAUUGAAAGAGUAAUAGAUUAAUAGUCAAAACAAGGUUGCAUACUAACUCAAGUAUCCACUACAAAUACCAAAACAUCAAACAAAGCUUCAACAAACUCAAAGAUUGCCUGUCAUAAUGAAUAGCUCAUUACUAUAACAAUUCAUUUACUUUUCAGCAGAUUCAACAGUCUUCGGGUUGUGCUUCCUAGCAUACCUCUGGUUCCUCAAAAACUUGGGAUCCA
rnacentral:lncRNA from 1 species